rnacentral:lncRNA from 1 species
GUUGUAGAGAAUUACAAACAUAUAUCAAAUCAUCAACCUCACUCAAUAAUCAAUACUCAUAAGACACUCUCAAUCUCCUCUAGUCCUAUGGAGUAUUCUCAACCCAAACAAAUACAAACCUAAACUCUUGUGCACCCUUUCAACAUAACCAAACACAUACCCAUAUGCUCCCAUACAUCAUACCUAUGUGGACCCUCUCAAUCUCCUCUAGUCCACUCAUAAACAAACAUACAAACCCAUAAGACGUAGAGCCCCAAUACUCUUAUGGGGUGUCUAUCCCACAAAACCCUACAACUCUCUUACAUCUUUUUCUCAUACCUAACCCUGUAGAGACUUCACCUAUUUAUAACCAUACAAACUUGCCCAUUAAGAAUCCCUCUCCUCUUAGAAUUCUUCUCCUGUAAGUCAAACUUGCCUAUUAAGAAUCCCUUUCCUUUUAGAAUUCUUCUCUUACAAGUCAAACUUACCUAUUAAGAAUCCUCUUUCUCUUGGAAUUCUUCUUUUGCAAGUCUUCUUGUCCAUCAAACAAUAUCUAACAAAUCUCUAACAAAUCUCUUAUGGGAUUUGAGUCAAUAUUCCCAACAGUUGUAACUUAUGAAUCUUAGGAAUUUUACUGCUUUGAUUAUUGACGUGGUCUCUAUAUCAACAUUUUGUUCAUUUUAAUUAAUUUCAUGUACUUUUAGCUCAAUAAAAUUGUUUAUCGUAUAUUUUGAAUUUUAUCAUUUUCUAUUAAAUUAAAAGCCUUAAUUUUAUUAUUAUUUAUCAUAUAUUUUGAAUUUUUACAAACAAUUUUUAUUAAAAGCUUUAAUUUUUUAGUUGAUAUCUCUUAUAUAUAUAUAUAUAUAUAAUUUGAACAUAUUAAAGAUUAAAUAAUAUCAUGUGAUUACACGUAUGUAAAUGGAUACUUGUAAUAUGUGCAUAACUCGGAUAGUAAACUAGUUGGCUUUUAAUAUUUUACACUGCUUUUCCGUAAAAGAUUUUGAUUGAAGUAUUCUUUCUAUUCUUGAUCUCAGCAUCUUUCAGCUUGUAGGAUGGCAAAUCUCAAUGAUUACUAACGUGUUUCCUUGACAUUUUUAAAAUUUCUUUUGAUAGACAUCUCCUAUUAUUUUAUUAUUUUGUUUAACAAUUUGAUAAAAAAGGUCAUUGAAGCAAAGAUAUUUUAAUUUUUUUUUAUAAUUGAAUUUAUCAUUCAACAAUAUUUUUUGUUCUUUUGAAAAAUAAUAUUACGUACAUUCAAAAGUUUCGAAAUAUAACUAUGACCCAUUGGAAUAUUAGGUUUGGAUGACACUCAUGGGUUUUUUAAUCAUCUUUUAAAAACAUUUUCAGGAGGAAUAUUAGGUUUGAAUGAGAGUCAUGGUUUUUUUAAUCAUCUUUUAAAAACAUUUUCUUGAAUUGAAUUAUUUUGUAAUCUUUGUAGGAGGGGUGACCUCAAUUGAACGAUUUUUGCAGAACUUCUUCUCUUCCUUGUACAAUACAAUAAACGAUGAAACCAAAAAUAAAAGAGCAAGUACUACAAAUUUGAUAGUUAGUUGCUGACCCUGUUCACCUCUUCCCUCUACCUUUCUACUUUGCUUGUUUGUUUUGCUGCCUCAAUGGUAACAAUGAUAUAUUUUUGGACGAAACGCUUUCAUGUGUUUUGGAGGCCUUAUUUUCUUUGCUGGCUCAAUUCUCGAUUGUAUUAUUAUGAAUGUUGGACUCCUAAUCAUUGGUCGUUUUAUGCUUGGUGUGAUAAAUAUUAAUUUUCUUUUCUUUUCUCUGCUUUAGAAUCAUUUUUAUCUCAAUAACAUUUAGGUUAAAAUUGAAGAAAUUUAAUUUUAUUUGAUAAAAUUUUUUUUAUUUAUUAUUUUUAAAAUAAUUUCGUUUAAUAUAUAUUUGAAGUUUCUUAAAUUGUUUUUUAAGAUAUAAUUUUCUUAUAAUAUAUUGGAUUUAUAAAUUUCGGAUAUUUAACUAUAAUUUUAGAAAGAAUGGUAAUUUGUAUCUAAUCAUACAUAUUUAAAUAGAUAAAAUAAUUUGUGUAUUGCUCGAAUUAUAAAUUAAUUUAAUAUAUCUUAAGAAAUUUAUUUUUAAUUAAAUUAAUUUUUAAUUAAUUCACAUAAUCAUUUUUAAAAAAUUAUGUUAUCAUAUUUAUAUUUUUUUAGUGUUAACUUUUUUCUAAAAAAAUUAUUUAUUAAUAAAUUAAUCUUAUGUGAUUAAUUAACUAAUAGAAUAUAAAAUGUAUAAACUGUGGGAUCGAAUAUAAAUUUUUUAUUCAUUACUGAUAAAAUUAAAUGAUAGCAACUCACGGAAAGACGUAAAGCAUUGACGCACUCAUCUACCGACAACCAAAGUCAAGCACCACUAAUAAUUUUAUUCACCCUCUUCCGGCUUUCAACCUUUCGAGUCACAACGCAAACGUCACCAUGCAAACCGAAACUUCAAAGUCAAACCAUUAACACCAAAUUAAAAAAAAAAAAGUAAGAACGGAUUUAACAAGGCACACACCCAAUAGAUGAUAUUAUCCAGAUUGCGGCAUCUCACAUGGUUGUACAAGCUGAUGAUUUUUGUUCACUCGAGUCAUAACAACAACGGCUUUGACAACUGCUGCUGCAUCUUCCACAAGAACAUGAUCCACCACAACCGCUACAGGAAAAGUUACUGCACCUUUUACAUGAAUUGCCUUUGCAGCCACUACAAGAAAAGCUGCCGCAACCUUUACAACACCUGCUGUUGUUGCACCCGCCACAAGAUAUGCUGCCACACAUUUUACAACCCCAGUUGUAGUAUCCACUAGAAGACCAGCCAUCGCAUCCGCUACAAGAAGAGCUGCCGCACCCUUUACAUGACCAAGACCAAGUGCAGCACCCACUACAAGACUUGCUGUUACACCCCUUACAAGUGUUGCUGCUACAAUUACUACAAUGCCAGCUGAUCCACCCAUAACCUGAGCAGCUUUUGCACCCACUACCACCACACCCAUUACAGCACAUUCUUUUCCCACAAUUCUCAGUGCAUGCAAGUGGGAACGAAAUACAUUUACUCUGGUCGCAUUGGCCUUCGGGAUGCCAUAUAUGGCAUUCCUUACAAAAUAUCCCUACUAUGUUGAUAAUUUUAUUAUCCUUCUUCUCAGGCUCUGGAGGCUUUUCUUCUUUAGGUGGAGCAUCAGGCUUGAUAGGCGUUUUAAUCUCAAUGCUUGUUAUGCAACAACCGGCCUUGCUCCAUAUCUUUCUCUUUAUGGACUCAGGAUUGCUGGAUACCACAGUGAUUGUCACCGUAUUUUCCUUCUCAUCGUAUUUCUGGUCUCUUAUUUCUGUUCAACAUCAUCACAUCACACAUAAGCUUAAUCGGUCUUUAAUUAUGUUUAAUCUCCCAAAACUUUUUUGUUCAUGCAUAUACACAAGCAUAGUGACAAAGGAGAUAUCGAUGAUCAGAUCACUUGCCCGGAUAUUUGCAGAGUACUUUCUUGACCUUCUUACAGCAGCGGUAGCACUUAAGGUCUACUUUCAACACCAUUGUUGUGGCCUAUAACAAUGCUCUUUAUUAUCAGUGAAUAUGAUGGUUCAGAAAAAUGUAGUAAUAUGUUAUAUCAUCCUAUAUAAUAAAUUAAGAAAAAAUUAAUGCAAUGUCAUCCCAUAUAAAAUAAUUGGAAAAAGUAUAUGGUAUUUCGUGGCAGUUUCUGCACCAAUGUAUAAUAUGUACAAUUGAUAGGUGGAUCAAUAAAACAUGUAUCAAAAGUGUCACGAUUUCGUCCGUUUUAAACAUAUAUAUAUAUAUAUAUAUAUAUAUAUAUGUUAUACUCCUACUAUUUAGAAUCGAACUGGUCUGGUUACCACUCCACUGUUUUAUGACAAUGAUAUAUAGUACUAUAUUAUAAGUACUUGUCAUGCACAUGCAAACUAUCAAAUCAAGUUGUUAUUUGGCAAAUUAAGGAAACUUUAGAGUUGAUGAAAUAUAUAGCAUAUACAAAGCAGUCUAGCUAAUUUGUGAACGACAGACAACACAUACAAAUUAAAUUACUAGCAUAAGAAGAACAUUUAGAUAAAGUAAAUAAAUAAUGGAUGAGAUUUCACACUUCACACCUCCGCCAUGGCAAUGGAUGAUGGAUGAAAUCUAGUAAAAAGACAGCUGUGUUGUCAAAUUAUGUAGACUACAAGUGAACCAGAGUCAGAGAGAAACUAAGAGAUGGUGUCUUCUACAUCAAUUUAUCAACCCAAGUUGCUAAAUAGCGUCUUAAAUAGAGCAAGGACUGACUCUAUGCACUGUCGACGCCUAAUGAGAACCCACCAUAUAUAUUUUAUAUAUAAGACGUUGAUUUUCAUAUAUAUACGACGAUUAUCUAUAUAUAUAUAUAUAUAUAUAUAAAUGCGUAAAAUGUGGAAACUUAAAUAUCGAAUCCCGUACACCCAAUUAUUGGUUUUGCAUCUGCUGGAUUGAUAGGCACUUCUGACCUUUUCGUGGACUUGAUCAGAAUAAAAUUUCUUAUCCCCAACUAACGAACUAAGUUUAAUUAGACCCAGAAUCCACGCAAAUCACCUAAAAGAAUCCUUUUUGUAGCAUGAAAAAGGAUUCUUGUACGCGUCCAUCCAAGUUUCUCAUUUGAUAUUAAUCAAGCAACUUCUUCGAUCUUCCUUGGUUCUUUGUUAUGAGAUGACUUUUCGUGGAGACAUCUUGAGUUCUUAACGUUGUAUCCCAUUAAUGAAAACUUAAAAAUUAGAAAUUUUAUACUAUGAUAUAUUUUCAUUAUUAUUUCUAAGGUUCUAUUGUUUGGUUUAAUAGUUUUGGCAUUUGUUUUUCAAAUAACAAAAAAAAAAUUGUAAUAUCCAUCAAAUGAAACUUAAAAAUAAUAUAUUUUAUGUUAUAUUUAAUGUAUUAACUAGGUGUGGACAUGGUCUUCUGACGUGUAUUUAAUUUAAGGAUCUUGUUGGCAACAUUUCGUUUUCAAACCGAACUUCUGAAAAUAACUAAAAUUUGAUUAAAGAAAAGGAGAGAGGGUGGGUGGAAGAAGAAAAUUAAGUUCUAUCUAAUGCUUUCAACCAUUAAAAAAAAAAAAAAAAGGAAAAGUUGUAUGUGCAGCAUCUGAUAUUUUAGUGGGUUCAAAGAUAUUUUGCCGAAAGCCUGAAAACCCAAAAAGUUGGAGUUCAAAAUCCUUAUUCCUUUCCUGGGCCUCUUGUUCAUUACUGUUGGUCUGAUAGUGCUGUAGUAUUGAAUGUUUUCAAAGCCUGGUCCUAGAGUCCAAAGCCCAAAGGCCUGUUGGUAGGCACUGUUUUCUGUUUUGUAUCUUUUUUUUUUUAAUUAUUUUUCGGGUCUUCUGAAUAAUUUCAAUCAUACAAGCAAUAAUUAUUUAAUGACGAUUAAUCUUUGGAUGGCCCUAGUUAUAUGAUUAAGGUGGGCCCUGGCAUUCGGGUUCUGCUAUUUGCAAUGUCAUUUCAGUAGUGUUAUUAAGUGGCAACUAUACAAUAUACACGCAUGGUUCUAAUUAUCAUCAAUAAAUAUAGCAUAUGAUUUGUAUAGUAAUAAAAGUAAUAGCAGCAGUAGUAGUAGUAUUUCUACUUGCUAUGAUUAGAAAUGAACCCAAUUAGCUGUCAGUGUACUAGAAAACUUUGGCUGUGGAUGUGAGCUAUGCAUAUACGGAAGAUUCUUUUGGGUAAGGGUAAGCGUCAACUUGUUUACGUGAAGACAGGAAAUGUAAUCAAUCAUCGUUUUCUUUUCUGCCCAUCUUUUUCUCAUACCACUUUGAUCUUAUUGGAGACUCGAAGAAUAACGAUAACGCUUAUCAUCACAAAUGUCAUUCGUUGAAUGGUUCUCCAAUUAUGGGUUCCCACUUGAUUCCUUCGUUUCCUGCCUUUUUCAAGAUCCUGAUAGCCUUCCCAGGCCGACCAUAGAUUGGGUUUUCGUGGAGUGUAUGCCAUUACUUGGACUCGGAAGUUGGAAUCCAAAACCGUGGGCUCCAUUCAUAUUAUUGUUCACAUCUCAUAUUUUUUAUUUUUACUAAGUCAUCCUCUGAUAAGCAUGUUUCUGCGCACCACAAGAAGUUGCACUUCAAUUCAUUUCAUUCAAAAAUCAUACUCCUGUAAUCCUGCAUGAUUAAAUUUAGGGGUUAAUGGAAGAUCGGAAAUUUCAUUAACAGCCAUUGGAUUUUGGACUUUUAUCAACACCCAAAGUAUGAAAUCAUCUCAGCCUGCAGGAACCCAUUAAAAAAGGUUCAUACUUCACAUAUAUGUGCACUAUAUUAAUCUAUAUAUCACUAAAGUAAUCACGCAGCUUUAAUUAAGUCUUGGUUACAUCGAUAGGGUAAUCUUAAACUUGUACAACAUCAGCUUUAAUGACGAUGAUGACCGUAUGGACCCAUAUUGUCCUUUGCUUUUAUUAUCAACUGCAAGCAAUUUAACAGGUGGAGAAGGGCAAUUGAUGAGAUGCUGAGUCAGCUAAAGGACAUAUGUCUACCGUGUGUUAAACAACUCCACGUCAGAUGUGCAGAAUUACCACGUUAUUUAAAUCUCUUCUUUCUCCUCAGACCCCUAACUAAGAGAGAAGAGAGAGAGAGAGUUCAUUAGAAAGAAAGAACAGGCAGCAAGCGAGAGUCCGAAGAAGUUCGUUGUUUGAAUAUCUAACUGCAUCUGCUGAUAAAACUUCUGAAGUAGAGAGUACUUUCCGAAUCAUCGCAGAGAUGGGUGAAGUAAGCGUAUCGAUCUAAUUACUAUAUAAUAUAUAUAUGGAGUACUGUUAUUUAUUCUCCUUUUUUGGUUGUUGCAUUCUUUAUGCAUGUCAUUAAAUGGCUUCUAAUUACUAGCCAUGGUUAUUCGUCUGAUCUCAAAGUUGAAUAGCCUCUUCUUCCAAUCCUUCAGUUUUGUGAGGUUUAUGUAAUUACAGUUGUUGGGUCUUUAGCUUUAUAUAUUUAUUAAAUAGAAUUCUUUUAUUAUAGCUCAAAGCAGAUAUAUUGUUUGAUUAUGUUGUGUGCAUGGCAACCGCAGGCGAACAGAGAAGAGAACAAAGGUGAAGAGAAAAAAGAAGAAGCCAAGGAUGAAAAGAAUAAGGAAGAGGAGAAAAAGGAAGAGCUUCCGGAGAUUGUACUCAAGGUUGAUAUGCACUGCGAAGCUUGUGCCAGAAAAGUUGCAAAAGCCCUCAAAGGAUUUGAAGGUCAGUAAUAAAUUUCCCUAAAUUAACUUCUUUAAUUAGCUCAUAUGAACCUGCUCCAUUUUUCAGAGAAGAUGAUGCAUAAAUAGAAAUUAAAUGAGACAAAUUUAAUUAACCAUACAUUAUUAUUAGUUAAUGUUGAUGCUGGUACUAUUUAAUAAUAGGAGUGGAGGAUGUAGCCACAGAUAGCAAGGCGAGUAAGGUAGUGGUGAAGGGAAAGACAGCAGACCCCAUCAAGGUUUGUGAAAGGCUGCAAAAGAAAAGCGGUAGAAAAGUGGAGUUAAUUUCACCUUUGCCAAAACCACCGCCAGAAGAGAAGAAGGAAGAAAACAAAGAACCCAAAGAAGAAAAAAAGGAAGAGGUAACCAAAAAAUAAACAAUUAAGAAUGGCUUUCAUUUCAUAGUUACCGUAUCAAAAUCAAACAUAAUGAUGAGUAAUCAUGAGUGCACCACUAUCACAUAUAGUAGUAUUGAUGAAUUUACAGUGGAAAAGUAGCAAUAAGUACUCGCAGUGUCCGUUUUUGACCCACUAAAGUUGGUUGCUUAGACCUUUCGAGUGUCAUAGGGAUUGAAAUACAAUUAGUUUCAACCCCUUUUGGGCUUUGGAGUUUGAACUUCCUAUACUGUGAAACCUGUGAGUGGUAUAGCGUGCUGUUUCCAUGCUGACAUUGAAAGUAACAAAACAAAUUGGCCAUUGCCCACAGCCCACAGGGCACAGGCACGUAUUUCAAAGAGGAAGGCGACUGUUUAGGAUUUUGACCCCACGGUUCCAUUCCGCAACAAGCAUGUACGGCUGUGCUUUGCAGUACUGGCUGCAGCCAUAUGGGGUCAAGCCCUCACGCUCACGGGUUGAGACUAAUUGAGAUCCUAGCUUGAUAUAUAAUUAACUUAAUUUACUUCGAAUUGGAAAGCAACAAUAUUAAAUCAUUACUAGUGGUAUUUAUGUUUUGAUAAUUAUAUAGUAGUAUCACUUUUGUUUCUUUUUGUCUUUGGUUUUGUUUCAUAUGUAGAAAUAGCAGAUUAAUGCUAAUAGUUUAAGACAAUGAGAUUUUUGUUUCUGGGUGGUAGGUGGAUUAUAUAGAUAGAACAAGAAUAAAUUCAAUAGGUGGGUGGAUUGAGUAGUGUUUGGUGGUGUUGUAUUCUUGUUGACUGUUGAGCACAUGCAGUUUGUCCUGUUUUUUCAUCUCACCAUCUCAUUGGGUGUUGAGCCCGUCGGUUUCUUAUGUCAGCUCCUGCUACAGAUCUCUAUCUACGUACCUUGGUGAAUAAACCUAAUAGAAAAAGUAAUUAUGUAAUGUCAGGCUUAGAGAUUGGGGCGGGGGUUACAUAGAAUUACAAGUAAUACUAAUUGAUGUUCAAAUAAUUAAUUACCAUGCAUCUUGGUUUGAGUUAUACAUUAAUCUGUAGAGAUUCAAUUAAUAAUUACGGUUGAAUGUGACCGUUAGUUGGUUUAAUGAUCUCUUGGCAGCCUCCUGCUGCGAUAACGGUAGUGUUGAACGUUCGUAUGCACUGUGAAGCAUGUGCUCAAGUUUUGCAGAGGCGAAUUCGAAAGAUCCAAGGUACUAUCCUAUACCAUAUUAUACUAUACUAUACUAUAUUGUGCAAUUCUCCUCCGCUAGUUAGCAACCCAAUUUCUGGAUUAUCUCAAGCUUUUUACUUUUUAACAUUCAUAAUAACUAUAAAACCCCAGCCUCCAAGUUAUUACACAUUAUAGUAAUUAAAUAUAAAUGAAGGGCUAUCAGAUAAAUAACAAGGUUAUAAAUAAUAAUAACUGUGUCAUGAAUAUUGUGUUGAAGCUAGCUGCUUGGGACUACUUAAUUUGGGACUUGACAUCGCAUCGGAUUCUUUUCUUCGUUUGUGGGUAAAAGAAUUCGGAUUCUUUUCUCACAAAGAUACAGAGAAUUGAAUUUGUAAAAAAAAAAAAAAAAAAGAAACUGGGCGUGUACUUCCCAUAUUGCAUACAAUGGUAAGAAUUAAAUUGAUGAUCAUCCUAGCCAGUGUUUCGCUACCCUAUUGACAAUUGGGAUAUGUAGAUAUAAUAUAAAAUGUAUCAAAAAAUAUUUGAUGAGUUAAUUUAUUCAUCUCAUUAGAAUUAAUUAAGUUAAUUUAUCAAAAAAAAAUUUAUGAACCAUUUUUAAAGUGUAUGAGAUGAGUGAGUUUUUUUUUUUUAAUUAUAUAAAUGGGUAAAAUACUAUCCAUUGAUCGAUGUAAAUAUUUUCAACGGGUAAUAACAUUUUCAUAUCAGAAUUAAGUUAGGAUGGAUGUAAUUUCAUAUUUGUGAGAGUAAGUUGUUAAACAAGUUUUGCCCAGCUCCCCCAUUGGGAAAUUGAAUUAGGGUUAGCCUCCAACUUUCGCCCUUGUUUCAUUUCGUUAUAAUUAUUAGUAUAUAUUAAUAAUAAGGCUAACUAGUGGUGUGGUUUGAUUAAUUGAAGUUAUUGCGUUGGGAAUAAUGCAUGAUUAAUUGCAGGUGUAGAGUCAGUGGAAGCGGAUGUGGGAAAUGAUAAAGUAAUAGUAAAAGGCGUUGUAGAUCCCACAAAGCUGGUUUAUGAUGUAAACAAGAGAACCAGAAAGCAAGCAUCCAUAGUGAAGGAUGAAGAGAAGAAGGAAGAAGAGAAGAAAGAAGAGAAGGAAGAGAAAGAAGGAGAGAAGAAAGAGGGUGAAGAAGGCAAAGGAGAAGAUGAUAAGAAGAGUGAUAUCAAGCGAAGUGAAUAUUAUCCAUCCAAGUACUACUCCGAGUUUGCAUAUCCUCAAAUUUUCAGUGAUGAGAAUCCAAAUGCUUGCUCUCUCAUGUAACCACCAAUUUCAGUACUUCUAGUUAGCCAACCAUGCAAUUUUCCUGGUAGUUACCCUACCAUCUAUAUAUAUAAUAAUGAUAACAUCUUGCCAGACGAAAGUGAGUGCUUAAUCAUGCCAUCCUUGACGACAUAUCCUAUGUAAUUAUAGGUCUUGUUUCUUGUCAUCUUGAGUUCAGAACGAUGUAUGGUUAUGGAGUACAGUUCAAGAGAUCUUUAAGACGUUGUUUGUAAUAAUAAUUGACUUUUCUGAAGUUUCUUUCUCUUAAUUAAUUCACAUACCAUAAAAUAGCCAACAGAAGUAUUUUGUAAUCUUGCCAGAUAUAAUUUGUUCAUCUUUUUAACCAUUCAAAAUUUUAAAUAAUCAUGGCAAUCAUUCUGUUAAUUUCCUGAGCAAACAUCACACUCUCCUUGAUUAUUUUUAAACUUCAGAAAAUGUAAUCGAAGAUAGAUGAUCAUUGCCUAGCAGAUGUUAUAUAUAUUAUAUAGCAAAACAUGAAAUGAUAUAUAACAAGUACUUUGUACCGGGGAGGCGAUUAAUUCAACUUGAGAGAACUCAAAUUUGGAGGAAUGUGUGAUAUCUGUUAGUUAUUGACUCCUUGUUUGGCAUGCUUAGAUGCUUCUGACUAUUCAGUAGAUAAAAAAAAAUCACAAUAUUAGUGCAUUCAAAGAUAAUUUUUUUUCCUAAUUAUCACAUGGACAAUCUAAAUUUUGUUUUGCUAGUGGCUUUUGCUGCUAGAAACUAAUAAAAAGGAGAUAAUUAAGUAUAUAUAUAUAUAUAUAUAUAUGUACAUGUGUGUGUCUAAUUUAUAGAAAGCAACAGCAUUGUCUCUAAUGUUUGUCAGACAUCUUAGAUGGAGUAUAUGGUAACCAUUACCAUUAGGAGAAAAUAUGCCCAAGUUGGUUGUUCUAGAAUAUUGAAGUACUAUAAACCUGGAAACGUUUAAUGUGAGAGCACAGAUAUAGUUAAUAUAUUCUUGAGGAUAUUUGAUGAGUUGAUGUCCAGGCACCAUUCAAAAUUCAUGCCUGGAUUUCAACUAACGUUGCAUGCUUAACAGUCACUCAAACCCACAGUGGCUAAUUGUCCAAAGACUUGUGGCGGAUAGCAGAGGGAGAAUUCUACACACAAAUCAACAAUAAUAAUCGACGCUCCUCCUACCAUUGGAGAAGGCAACACUAUACAAGCCACUCAUUUGAGAUGCCCUUGGUCCAUAACUAUCGCUCUAUCAGUCGCAAUUAAUGUCACCAAGAAUAAAUCCUAGAACAGAGUACAAACGCAAAUGGUCAUAAAUUUCCGGAAGGUCUGUUAAUGCUAUAAAUCAAGACUAAAACUCGGAAUAUUUAAGUUUUAGAUGCUGAGUGAAGCUUGAAAGAUACAUACAACUUAUAAAAUCUAAUAUGAUGGUUAAUAUUAAUUGUUUAACCGCUGCUGAAAUAUGGAUAAAUAUACAUAUAUACACAUAUAUAUAUGUAUGUAUUUAUGUAUGGAUUAUAGAGUAAUCAGAGAUUUUAAGGGGCACCAUCUGUCGGAGUUUGGACUAGAUAUUAUGCAGGCUGCAAUCACCACCGGCCGAUGUUAUCCUCGCUGCAAAGCAAGCAAAGCUCUGACAAAAUGGCACGCUGUGUUGUCAAUAGGAAACCAAUAUACGAAAAGGAUAUCGAACUGGACCACCGAUCCAUUGGGUUGGGCAGAACUUUAUGCUAAUAGAAAAUCUAAGGUUCAGGCCUAAGUCUAACACACGUAAGGAAAAGCAGUGUCGUUAGGUCGUAGUCAAUGUGACCAUGUGGGCAUGCAUGGCGGGCUGGUACCACGGUGACACUAGUGAAAAAGCUAAGACUGAUAAUUGCAGAAAGAGUUUUACAUCUCCCAGUCACAUUUGAGUGGACCCCUUAAGAUUCUGAUAAUUAUUCAAGCAGCAGGCCCAGUAUUCCCACUAAGGCUUAAAAGUUGGGUGGAUGAGAAGUAUGUAUUGAACCUGGAGGUCCAAGACUCUUUUGUAUGAUAUCAAAGACAACCUGCAUGAAAUGAAAUUAUCAUAAAAAGAGAAGCUUGAACUAGGAAAGUAGGAUUUGGAAUAGUAGGACGUUAUUGAUUCAUGUGGAUUGUAUUUCUUUAUUUCGGGUCACAACAAAUUAAGGGUGGUGCGAAUAGAGAAUCAUGUUUAAGGAUAGAUUGAUAUAUAGGAAAAAAGCUUUUUCUAUUCCCUGCCUGCCCAAACGAGCCAAUAUCUUUGGAACUUACUUUUUCUUUGCCUUUUUGUCAUCGAAUAGAGUAUUAUACAGAGAUGGAGUUGACAAGAUCAAGUUGGUGGCCUCAGCCAGACGCAGGACCAACAAGUGCAUAAGCUAAUGAAAGUAAUGUAAUAUAUACUCUUUAGUAGAAAAUAAGGAAAGUGAAAAUUUUACCUUUACUUGCUGCAAUUUAUAAUUCCAGCAAUAGCCACGUCGUUUAAGAUUCCACCACGCAUGAAUUAAAUUUCUUGAACCUUAAUAGGUCAAUUACCCAUGAAUGGAAACCAAUAUAUAUAAAUAAAUAUAUAUAUAUAUAUAAUGGCUAAUUAUACCGAUGAGAAGGCGUUUAUAACGAAUUAACAACUACAUAGAAUUUGGUUUUUCAAAAUUCUGCUAAUAAAAACUGGAAGACCUGGUCGCAAUCAUUCACAAAUCAACAAUAUAAUAUAUUAUUUAAAAAAUACUAUAUAAUAUAUUUGUCCAGUUGGAAAAUAUUUUCGCUAUUUUUGUAUUCGAAAUAAAUAUAUAAUAUAAUAUAAUAUAUUGUCAUCAUGUUUGACAACAAUUGAAGCUUCUUUGUGCUACCAUCAUGUGACGUUGGGUUAGAGGGUGAUCCUUGAUGUGGUAGAGGCUUAUCUAUCUCAAUAUCUGGAAAUUUUGGCCACAUAACGUUUCCUUUGGUGUGAACGAAUGUAGGUUUUAUAUUGGUAAAAAGGUAUCUAUCUUUGUUUCAAGACAAUUCGUUAGACACUGAAGGCCGGUGGCAUUGGUGGCCACAUGGCAGGGAAUGCGGCCAACGACGUCGUAAUUGUACUAGUCUCUUUCCUUCUUUUGUUUAACUUGCCUUAUAUAUCUUAUUACAUUAGCUUAUUAUUCGUGCAAUACGUAAAAUAAUUUUAUAUGUAUAAUUAUAUGUAUAAAUAAUUAUAUGCAAAAGUAUAUAUUAAUUAAAAUUAAAAAAAUAUUUUUAAUACGUUAUGUUCAAAUUUUAUAUUAUAAUAAAUGUGUUUUUCUAAAUAUUUUAAAAAUUUUCAAACACCUUUUUUAGAGAAUUUUCAAACAUCUUUAAACUUAUUAUCGAAUCAAUAUUUUUACACUAUCUAGUGAAAAUAACUAUUUAUUUAGUUAAAAAAAAAAAAAAACUAUCACUUACUUAAACCUUAUAUUAUCAUUAAAAAUCAAAUUCAAAGUUUCUGAGCUUAUAUUUACUCUUGGAUAUCAAAUUUGGAUAUAAAUUAAAAAAAAAAAACAUAUAAUUUGGUUUCCCAGAUUAUGUAAUGGUCAGAAUAAAAAGGGUUUUUAACUUAAAAUUUUUCCUUAAUGAAGGUCCAAAAUACCGUAAUGUUCUAUACUUAGAAUAUGAAAAAAAAAAAAAAGUACUUAUCAUGUAUCUUAAAAAUAAUAAAUUUACACAUUUAUUAAAUAGUGUUAUUGACGUGGAUUACUUAAAUGAAAUGGUAUAUAUUAAUUCCCAUGUGGUAACUUUGAUAACAGUUUAUUACUAAUUCACUUUGAUACUUUUACCAGAUGAUUUAUUGACUUGAUUUUUUAGCAACUCUUUUUCACUUGUUUUAUUUUUUAUAUUUUGUAAGUUAAUAUUCUUAAAAAAGUAUGAAAGUUUCACUCAUGACUCAUACACUGAAUGACUAAAACCAAAAAAAAUCUACUGGGAAUGAAAAAUCAAUUAAUCAAAACAUUUCAUAUAUAAGAAAUCAUGCUUCACAUAUAUAAGAGAUGUAAUGAGUGAUAGAUAAAGGCCUUUUUGACUCUUACCACGGUACUUGUUGUAUGACAAUAUAUAUGAUCUCAAUCCAUGCUUUCUCGAAAUCUAUCAAAUAAUUCAACAAAUAUAUCACUUAUUUGAAAAAAAUAAAUAAAUUUCAGUAACUCAACCUUUUAAGAAUUUUUAUUUUGGUCACUCAACAUUAAAAAUUUACAAUUUGAUUACUAACAAAUAAAUUCUCAAAUUAUAAAAAAACAAAAAUAAGUAUUUGACUUUUUUAUUGCAUGGAAUUAAAUUAUUACAUUUAAAUUUGAAAAUUUGAUAAAUGUUAUCCACUUGCAAAAAUUCUCUAAAAUAAUGUUACUUCAAAUUUUGUUAUUCAACUCAUCCAAAUAAACUCAAGUAAAUAUUUCAUAUUUCAUAACGUCAAGAUUUAGUUUUAAUUUCAUGUAAUAAAAUAUUAAAAGAAGUAUAGAUAAAAAUAAAAUAAUUUACUAUAUUGAAUUUCACAAAUCAUUGGUGAUUAAAUCAUUAUAAAGUUAUGUUGAGAAUGAUAUUCAAAUAUUAAUAAUUUCAAAAAUGUUGAUGACCAAAAUGUAAAAAUUUAAAAUAAAUACGUGAAUUUAUUGGAUUAAUUGAAUGAAAAAUAUUUGAUGUAAUAAUCUUUUAAUAAUUUUAGCACUUUGAUUAAUAUUCACCUGUUUUUCAAAUUUAAAUGGCACAAUUAUAAAAAAAUAAAAGUUCAUAGUUUAAUUCCAUGCAAUAAAAAUAUUGAAUGUUUGUUUCUAUUUUUUAGUAAAAUUCAAUGAUUUAUUUGAGUAUUAUCAUAAUAUAUUUCAAUAGGUAACAUAAAUAAUAAAAUAAUUUAUUAUAUUGAAUUUCAAAAACAAUGGUGAUCAACUCAUUAUGAAUUCAAGGUGAUGAGCUAUUGAUAAUAGAAGGGUAAUGUCAUGAAUGACCUCUAAACUAUAGUAAAAUAUUUAAUGUGGUACUUGAAUUUUACUAAUAUGCUACAUGAACUAUGAAUUUGUCAACUAAAGUGAUACUUUGGAGGAUUGUUUGUCUUUCAUGUGCCAUUAUUUGAAACUAGUCACGUUAGGGGUGAGUAUCAUAUUGAUUAAUAAAUUCAUAUUUCAAGUACCACAUUAAAGAUUUUUAAAAAUUAAUUAUCAUAUUAAACAUUUCUCCAUAAUCUAAGAGCUAUUCAUGACAUUAAUCUAAUAUUAAUAAAUUUUACAAACGUUAAUGACCAAAAUAUUAAUAAAUUUCAUAUUUUAUAAUGUCAAGGUCUAAUUGCAAUAAAUUUUAUGCUAUCUAUAUUUUUUUAAUAUUUUAUUGCAUGAAAUUAAAAUUAUGGAUUUUUUUUCUAUUUAGAAUAUUGACAUUAUGAAAUAUGAAACACUUAUUUCAAUUUAUUUGGAUGGAUUGAAUCACAAAAUUUUAAAAUAAUGUUGUUUUGGUAAUUUUGACAAUUAGUUAAUUUCAUCCGAUUUUCAAAUUGAAAUAGUAUAAUUAUAAUAAAAUAAAAUAUUUAUAAUUUAAUUUCAUGCAAUAAAAAUAUCAAAUGUUUAUUCCAUUUUUUAUAGAAUUUAAGGACUCAUUUUUUAAUGAUCAAAUUAUAAAUUUUCAAAAUUAAGUAAUCAAAAUAAAAAUUUUAAAAAGGUUAAAUGACUUAAAUAUAUUUAUUUUUUAAAAAUUUAUAAAUGCCAUGUCAAAAAUGUCACAUGACUUAUUAGAUGAUGUGACAGUGUCAUGUGACAUUGAUAACUGAUAUGACAUUGCCACAUUAGAACACUAUUAGACAUUAAUAGUUGAGUAAUAAAAAAAUACUUACUCAAACUUAAAUGAUGAAAUUGAAAAAAUAAAUACUUUAAUGACAAUUUUAGAACGACCUUUAAAAUUGAAUGGCUAUUUGUAUAUUUUACCCAAAGAUUUUCAAGUGUUUACCAUUACUAAAAUGUAUAAAAUCCUUGAUUACUAUCCUAUUUUCAUGUAAGAAUGCAAAAUACAUUAAUAUUCCUAUAAUAUGAUAAACAUAUAUAAUUCAGAACAUAUGCAAAAUUGUAAAAAAAAAAAAAAAAACUGAAUUUAGAACAAAAAUGGACUGAAGUAAAAAAUGUACAAAAAUCAAAUGAAGAGAUUAAAUCUUUAAUCCUUAUAAAUUAUUAAAUAAACAAAAAGUGAGAUGGAUCAAUUUUAUAUUUUUCCAAAAGCAAUAUCCCUUAAAAAUUUAGAUUUCAAGAAAAUUAUUAAAAGAAUAUAUAUAUAUAUAUAUAUAUAUUCUAAAAGCAAUCAUACAUAAAAAAAAAUUACUAAAUAAACAAAUGUACUUAUAAAAGAAAAGUCAAAACUGAAAAGAAGAGAAUGGGUCACUUGUUCUUUUAUUCUCCUAAACUCAUAAAACAUGUAUUUCUCUAGUUGUGUGAUGUGUUAUUUAGCAGCUCAAAAUCUUAAUUUUUUCUUCUAAAAGAAUUGUAUGGAAAUUAAGUUGUAAAUUGAAAAAAAAAAAUGUAACUUAAAGAUUUAAAAAACUUUAGAAUAAUUCUUGUAUGACAAUUAAAAAUGAAUGGUUUUUUUUUUUUUUUAAUUUAGAAAGGACAUAAUAAUAAGUAAUAAAGGAAAAAUUAAACUCCUUACAAAUGGAGUGCAUAUUUAAAAUAUGAAUUUGAUAAUUUUAAUAAAAAAUGGAUAUAUAGUGCUUCUAAUAGUUCCUAACAUUUAAGAAAAUUUAAAUUCUAAAUAUUGUACAUAUUUGAAAAAGUGAGUUCUUAGAUAAAUUUUAUAUGAUCUAAAUUAAGAUAAUCGGUUGAAGGACUGGAAUUAGUUUAAUUUUUGAAAAUUUUUAAAAUUAGAUCAAAUAAUUAAUUGAGUAGGAUUAUUUGAUAGAUAAUUAAAAUUAAACUAUUAUCUUAUAUGUAAAAAAAUAUAGUUUAUUCCCAUCAAACAAUAAAAUUUUACACUAAUUAAGACUCUAAAUAUCCAUCAACCAACAACCAAAAUCCUCUAUCUUAUUUUUAUCAAUUUUUAGCAUUGUCUAGUCUAUCAAGUUUUACACUGAUCUAAAGAUUCUAAAUAUCCAUCAGCCAACAAUCGAAUUUCUAUCAUACACGAAAAUUUAUAAAAUAUAAAUACUAAAAAGGAUAUAAUAUUUUUUUCUCCUCAUUAAUUAGCAAAAUUAAAGGUCUAAUGAAGAUAUUACUAUGCAAGAAGACGAAAAACAUGUACACCCGUUUUCCUUAGCUCACACCCAAAUGGGAUCCUACUUCAUAAUUUGUAAACUCAAAAGAAUGUAAAUAGGGAGGAGGCUAACUUUAUAUUGAAAAAUAUAAUUUAAUCUAAUAUUUAAAAAUUGCAAAACGAUGUAUUUAUUAAUAAGAAGAUCAUUAAGAAGAAAAUAAACGUUAAUAUUUCACAAACAAAAAGAAAAUGGAUGAUGAUCAAAUGCGCCGAUUAUUUGAAAGCUUUUGUGUUAGAAGCCUUUUCAACACUUAUGGCUAAUUCAAUAGUUUCCUUUCUUCCUUUGAUGUAACAAAACUUCAUAAUUAAAAAAAAAAAAAAAAGGAAAGCCAACAUUCAAUAUACAAACUUAAUUAGUUGAGAAAAAUUUCACUGAACAAAAAUCAUAUUUAUAGAAAAGAUAUUACCAAUUAACAUAUAAGAAAAAAUUAUCUUUAAUGGUGACGGCUUGGAAAAACAUGAUGUACUACGAAAGGAAAUAUGAAACAAUAAAAAAAAUAAAUAGGUUGUUGUUCUAGAUCUAAAAAUCACCUGUCAAUAAAAAAUUUGUAAGAAAUUUUGAAAGAAUUUUGUUUGCUAAUAAAUGAAGGAAUGUAAUGGGAAGAUAAUUUGAUUAUCCCUCUAAAUGAGGUAUAAAUAGAUGUAUAAAAUAGGGUUCUAAGGUUUUAUUUAUGGUGAAUAGUAUCAAGGUAUUUUUAAAUUACUUUUAAAUGACAUAUUUAUAGGCUUAUUAAUUGGAUAAUGAGUAGAAUGUAUAGGCAACUUUUAAAUGAGAGUAUAUAGAUAAUUUUAAAAAAUGAUAAAUAUAUUUUAAAUUUUAAAUUAUAUUACCUUUUUUGUGAGAAAUUACAUUACUUCAUUUAUACAUAUGUAAUUUAUUACUUUAUUUAUUCAUGUGUAAUUUAUUUGAAUUUAUUUAUCUUUUUAGAUUUUUUAAUUUGUGAAUAAUCAAAUUAGAUUGACAUUUAAUUUAAAAUAUAAAAGAGAUUUGGAUAACUAAUAAUUAUUUUAAAGAGAUUUAUUUAAUUGAAAAAUAGCAUAAAAUAGGAAUUGUCCUACAUGUUAAAUAAAUAGAUUAUCUAUCUAAGCAUCCAUAAAAGCGAACUUUAUUCGGUAACUAUAUAUCUUGUAAUAAUAUGUAUGAUUUGAAAAUAAAUAGUAGUAGCCACCAAUCUCUUUUAUUUAGAUGUGAUUGGUUACCUAUUAAAAUUUAUCUUUCUAAUAAAUAUUUUAAAAUUAACUAAAAAGAUAAUUUUUGAGCCUAUGAAAAUAGUUUGAAUUCAAGAGUCGGUUACGCGUGCGGAAUGAUUAGUAUCCUUAUAGCGCCUGUUUAAAACGAUGCCAAUUAAUAAUGUGUUAUCUUUUAUUUUUAACUAGAAUGAUCUUAAUUUUGGUAUUUAAUGUUUAAUUUUCUUAAUUUUCUUUAUUGUAAAAAAAUAUUUUUAUUUUAUCAUUUUAUUUUAGUAUUUUUAUUUUUGAAAAAUAAAUAAGAACCUUGCAUAUUAAAAAUUUUUUAAAAAUAUUCUAAUAUUUUGGCAAUAUUAAUUGGAACUUUCUCACUUAAAAAAUUCUUAAGAAUCUCUACUCAAAAUUCUCAAAAAUCUUAUUCUCAAUGAUUCAUAUUUAUCAUUAUAAUUUAUAUUUAAUAAACUAAUUGUAGAAUAUGAUAACUAUGAUUUAAUCAAAUAAUAUUUUGUAAAAUUUAUUUUUAAUACUAAAAUAAGAAAUCAUUAUAAAAAAAUCAUUAUAAAAAAUUAUUCUAAAUGUCCCAAUACGUUGGCGGUAUUUUAGAUAAAUUUCAUAUCUAGAGAUUCUUAAAGAAUCAUCACUCGAAUUUCUUUAGAAUCUCAUCUCAGAUGUUUCAUUUUUUUAUAAUUAUUAAAAUUUAAAAAUCAUGUAAUAGUAUAAUUAUUUAUAAAUAAGUUUAUUUCCUAAAAGUACUUUUAUAAAUAUUAAAUAUAUAUUUAUCUUUCUUUUUUCUAGUGGAAAAUUAUUCAAAUUAAAGAAAAAAUAAAAAUAAAAAUCUUUGUAUUGAAAAAAGUUUCUAAAUAUUUCAGUACUUUAAUAAUUUUUAGUAGCAGUUUCUCACUUAGAGAAUUAUCAAGAAUCACUACUCAGAAUUUUUAGAGUCCCAUAUUCGGAUUUCAUAAAAAAAUACAAAAUUAUGAAUUAAUUUAUUAUUAUUAUUUUUAAAAAAAAUUAUUUUCAUAAAGUAAAUUCUUUUUUUUUAGCAUGCAUGCAUAAAAAAAAUAUUAAAUAGACAUAAUAAAAAUGGGUUAAAAGUAUUAAUGAUUAUACCCUGUUAAGCUUUAGAGUUGAACAUAAAGAAAAUCCAAAAAAUGGCUUAAUGUCAAGUCCACAACUAACAAGUUGGACAAAAUUCACUGGUCACGAGCUGGGUCAACAAUGUUGGGCACUCUCUGGGUCACAAGCAAGGAUGGGUGGAUCCGAUUUAAGUCGAAUUAGUAGAUUGACCUGGGAAUUCCUCUUUUUAUUGUUUAAAUGGUGCGUUUAGCACCAAAACCCUUUUUUUUUUUUUUUGGGUAAAAGCUAUUAAAGGUAGAAUUUUUUUUAAAAACUAAUUCUACCUUUUCAUUGAAAAAAAAUCAACCCUCCCAACUUAGCCUAACAACUAUUAGUCUUAUCUAGAUUCAAGCACCGACAUCGUCGCUCCUCUAUUGUCACUUGUCGUUCAUCGACUACAAUUUAUUCCCUUUCUUCCUCUCUUUUUUUUUUUCGCUUAUUUUUCUCUUUCUCUUUUUUGAUUCGGCGGUCUCAACCCUAAAAAAAACUUCUCAGUCACUGAUCCUAAGUGCCGCUGUCGCCGCUACUAACCCUCAAUGCCUCUAAUGCUACCUCAAUUCUUCCUCUGCCAUUCCUUUUUUCUUUUUGUUUUUUUGUCUUAUUUUUUAAAAAUGAAAUUGAUUUUUUUUUAUUUCACAAGAUUCGUUCAGCACUAGGUUCCUUUUUACGUGGAGAACUAUGUUUUAUUUUGAUUUUUUUUUUAUUUUUUGAUAGGUGUUGAUAGGUUGCGAGUGUGGUGUUUUUUUUUUAAAUUUUUUUUAUGGUUUUUGGUGGGGGAAUGAUGGCUAGGUAAGGCUUGUCCUAGUGGAUUUUAGGGGUUUUUUGGUGGAGGCUAAGUUAGAGAAUGAAAAAAAAAAAAAAGGGUUUUCUAGGGUUGGUCUUUUUUGGAGGUUAGGUAAAUGGUUAAGUUUGUUUUGACCGUGGGGUGUUGCGAUUGAAAAAGUGAUGUGUAUUGGGGGAAAAAAGAAUUUGUGCAGAGGUUGUUUGAAAUAGGGCUAGAGUUUGGAUUUUUUUUUACAAUGUCUCUCUUUGCCCAAAUUUGGUCUAUCUUCUUUUUGUGUUGAUUCUAGCUUAGUUUUAUGCAAAUGAAAUCUAUAGGGUAGAUCAACUGACGAUAUGGGUGAGUGAAUAAGUGGUAGUAUAGGUGAGUCUGGGGCUUGGUGAGUUGUGUUAAAGACUUUGGUAUGCAGGCAACAAGGCAUGGUGCAAGCAAAGGCUACUGAUGGGUUAAAACUUUGGGGGUGGAGCUAGCAAGGGCUAUGCCUUUGAAAUGGUAAUGGUGGGUUUAGGUUUGGGAUCUUUUGGUCGAGGGCUCUUCAAACUUAGUGUUGGUGCUUGGGCUUGGAAAAGAAUAUGGCUAUGGUGUUGGUGGGAAAGGCAAUUAAGGUUGGGUAAGGGUGUUUUAGGAGGGUCGGUGCUCAUGUUUCAGUGAAGAGAGGCUAUUGAUGGUGUUGGAGGUUGGUUGGGGUUGGUUCUCUUGGAUGUGGAGCAUGCAAGGGUAGAGAGUUCAAAAAUUUUCCUCUUAUAAUUUUUUUCUGCCCUUUUCUAGAAUCCCCUCUCCCUAUAUUUAUGAAUCUAUAUAAUAAGCGACAACAAUUCAAUUUCCAUAGAACUACCAUAAAUUUUUGCAUCAUACUAAAAAUUUGGGCUUUUUCUUGCAGCAAAUGGUGUAUGAAAGUAUGCUCGCUAGCCACUACCUAUCUUUUACCUAUUUUCUAUUCUUUAUCUUUUUUUCUUUUAAUUACUCUUUUUUAAAAAAUUAUUAUUCAAUUAAUUUCAAAUAAAGAAAUCAAAAUAAAAUUGGGAUUUAAAAAUUUUUUUGGGCCUAAAAUUGGAGCUUAAAGCUUUAAAAAUUGAUUUGGGCUCCUAUUAGGCCUUAAAGCUUGAGUGAUUGAAUUUUGAUGAAUUGAACUUUACGAUUUGAACUUUACAUUGAACUAGAUUUUAAUUCAAUGUAAACAAUUGAAAAACAAUUAAUCUGAGGUAUGUUCAAAACACAUUAAUUUAAUUACCGUACUCAAAUUAGUCCAAAUUAAAUUAUUAGAAUCAAAUGUAAAAGUCGAACAAAUGUCAUAUCAAUUCAGAUUAAAUUAGGUUGAAUCGUAAAUUAUACAAAUUGAUUCAAAAUGAUUAAUCGAGACAAACCUGAACUAGCUUAAUUUAAUUAAAUGCAAUUAAGUUAGUUCAAAUUGAAAUGUUAAAAUCAAAUUUUUUUUAAAAAUUAAACAAAUUCGAGUUAGGCCGAACAAAAUUGGAUGUCUACAACUAUCCUUUUUUACACAUUACUGAGAAUCAAGAAUAGGCCAAAGACAUAGACAACAAAUUUGUUUGAAAUAAUGAUUCAAAAUUUUUUUAAUUUUUAUUUAUUUUUGACUUUUUUUAAACUAAUAAACUUGACCAUUUGAAAACAAAUUUGAAAACUAUUUUAAACAAAAACUUAAUAACUUUUGAAAAUAAAAUAAGAGAUCAUACCCGGAGGUCUUAUAAAUCUCGAAACUUAAUCAAAUUCAGCUUGGAAGACUUACAAAUCCUAUCCAGAAGACUUAGGAAUUAUGCCUACAAAUCUUAUAAAUCUCAAAAUCUUUGAAUGCUCCUUUCAAUAUGAGGCAUUGAAACUUUGAAAAUUUAAAAUUUUUUGCCUAAAGGUCUUACAGAUUAUGCUUGGAGGUUUUACAAAUCUCAAUAUCUUUGAAUGCUCAUCGUAUCAAAAGUAUUGAAACUUUAAAAAUUUAAAAUGUUUUUCCUAGAGGUCUUAGAGAUUAUGUCCAAAGGUCUUACAAAUCUUGACAUCUUUGAAUGCUCCUCAUAUCAAAGGUGUUGAAAUUUUAAAAUUUUAAAAUGUUUUCCCAAAAAUCUUAAAGAUUAUACCCGGAUGUCUUAGAGAUUAUGCCCGAAAGUCUUACAAAUCUUGACAUCUUUGAAUGCUCCUCAUAUUAGAGACAUUAAAACUUUAAAAAUUUAAAUAUUUUAUCCAAAGGUCUUAGAGAUUAUUUUGGGUACCAACUUAAUUGGGCUUAGAUUAAUUUGGGUGCCAGUUAGACUGGACUUAGUAUACUAGCUAAACUAGGCUUAAAUAUCAUUUGGAUACCAGUUGAUCUAAGCUAGACUAAGCUUAAAUAUUAUCUAGAUACUAGCUGAUUUGAGCUUAUGUGCUAGCUAAUCUGGCUUAAAGUUUGAUCAGAUACCAGCUAGAUUGGGCUUAAGUCUUAUCAUAUGUCAUAUCUCAUAUUUUUCAUUCAUUUUUCAACAACCCCUCCACUUUUUGUAGAUAAAUUUUUUUUCAACUCUUCAAACUUUUUUGCCAUUUUGGUUUCUUGUCAAACUAUUUUAUCUUUUUUCCCAUCUUUUCAUGUAGACUUCUCUCUUUUUGCCUUUUUUUUUGCUAUUUUUCUUUUUUUCCUUAUUUGUUAAUAUUUACAAAGUUGACAAACACACUCAUGAUACAAAUGUCUAUUUUCAUAUAAUGAUACGAAUGUGAAUGUCUAUGCAAAUGUGAGAAUGUGAAUGCUUAAUGCAAAUACAAUUGACUUUUUCACAAUGCAAAUAUCAAUGUUCCUUUCAUGUAAAUACCCCUAUAAAUAUUUUUUCUAUGAUGCGGAUGUAAUGAUGCAAAUGCAAAUUUCUUUCUUAUGAUACAAAGGCAAGCAAGGCAAUUACGAAUUUACUUUCAUGAUGUAAAUACAAAUGCAAAUGUCUUUCUCAUGAUGUAUAUACAAGUGCGAAUGCAAGUGAUGUAAAUGCGAAUGUCUUUUUCAUGAUGUAGAUGUGAAUGUGAAUGUCUUUCUUAUGUUGCACAUGCAAUUACGAAUGCAAGUAAUACAAAUAUAAAUUUCUUUUUUUUGUGAACACAAGUGAUGUGAAUGCGAAGACUUUUUUUGUUUUUGCAACAUGUAGAUCAAAUAUCUUUCUGAUUAUGCACAUGUAAAUGUAAGUGACGUGAAUGCGAAAACUCUUUUUAUUUUUGCAACAAGCAAAUCAAAUGUCUUUCUAAUGAUGCACAUGCAAUUGAUACAAAUGUGAUUUUGUUUUACCAUGCAGGUCAAAUAUCUUUUGCCAGUGAUGCAAAUGCAAAGACUCUUUUUGUUUUUUUUUUUUUUGAAAGAUCUUUGUUCAAAAUUUCAAUAUUUAGUCUUCAUCAAUAAUGAUCUUAGUAUUUUGUACAAAAUGUUCAAAUAAUCUCUAAACUUUUCAAAAAAGAUCACAUAAUUGCCCCACAUAAAGUAUCUUUGUAAUCAAUGAGAAAAGUUGAAAACUCAUGACAUUUGAAUCUCUUGAAAAUUGAUGAUUACUAUUUGGAAUGCUUGGGGAUAGAGGUUGUCGACAAUUCAAUUCUUUUCACUGGUGUACAUAUCUGAAAGAAAGUUCGAUGAGGGUUACAAGGAUUAUUCUUGGGCUUACAAAAGAGAUCAUUUUUCAAAAACACUUUUCUUUUAUUGAAAAUAUGAUACUUCAUUGUGCAUCAAAACUAACCAUUAUUUUUUGAAAAAGAUUUGGGAAGAGAAAAAGGUUGGUUUUUUAUUUUCAUUCUUUGGUGAAAUGUAAAGUUUUUAAUGAGUAUUGAUUCUUCUGAAUAAGGUUUUGCAUUGUGACUUUUUAUUCUGAAUAAAAUCUUAGAAUUCUAAAAUUUUUUUAGUGCCUCAAGAGUGGCUUUAGAUCUUAACUGCCAUUUUUUUGUUUCCACCUUAAAGCUAUAUUUUCUAAUAAUGAAGAACUUGGCAAAAUCUUGUCAAAUACUAACGGAUAUAUAUAAAUUUUCAAGGACAUAACUCUUUAAUUUAAGUGUCUGUAUUUGAUCAGAAUAGACUUUUCAAGGUAUGUAAUGUAAGCCAAGGUUUAGGAUUCUGAAAGAAUGGAUAAAUAGGUUUAAAAUAUGUUAUUUAGGGUAAUUAGGCCAAGGAUCUUACAGAGCAUUCUCUAGAUAAAAGCCAUGUGUCUUUCUUUCUUUACACCUUUUUUUUUUUUCGAAACAUUUGAUUUCAACUUUAUCAUUAUUCUUUCUUAAAUUUUGUCUUUUUUUUUUUACUUAAGAUUCUAACUAAUGCUUCAUUCACUUUAUUCACUCUCAUCUCUGAAGAGCAUUUUUUUUUUAAACAUCUAACUUUAACUUUAACAUUCUACUUUCUUAAAGUUUUACUUAGAAUUCUAACUAAAACUUUAUUCACUUUUUACCCCGAAUUCUUAUCUUCGAGCUACAUGUCUUUCUUUUCUUUGCUCCAUUUUUUUGAGAUUCUAAUUAAAGCUAGUCUCUUAAAGAUAUCCUUAUUUUAUCCUAUGUGUAAAAGAUGAUCUUUAACCGUGGCUCAUUUUGGAACAAAAAGUUUAAUAGGCUCAAAUAGGUAGUAAUUGGAUAAUUUUUCUUUAUAUGAAGGAUAGAGAAAGAUUGUGAUUCAUGUUGUAUAGGAUUUCCCACAAAUUUGAUCACAUAGUUCACAAAAAAGCUCAUUUUAUCCCAAAUUAUUUGGUAUUUUUGAUAAAAUAAGGGGAAAAGGUAUUAAUGCAUGAAACAAAUUAUUUUAGGCAAGAAAGAAUUUUGCUUCUUUUAGUCAAUGUGCCUUAAGACUUGAAACAAGGGCUACUUGAGAAAAAUUCAAGCAUUUUUUGAAUCUUUGGUAUUCGAAAGAAUUUGGAUGGUUCAAUUAUAUUGGCAAAAUUUGACACACAUUGAAUUACUAAAUACAAAUUUGAAAAAAUAUCUUGUUUGGUUUUCAAAAUCCAAAAUAAAAUUUUAAAAUUGGCCUAUUUUGUUCAUUGCCAAAGAAAAGAUUAUUAUCUCAAUAUAUCAAAUGAUGACAAAGUUCACAAGUUAAAGUUCAUACCCUUAAAGGAUUAUGACUAGUAAGCGAAGUUAUUCAAAAAGAUUGAAGUGUGGAAGCGGUCAAGGAAAAGUGUGAAGGUAUUGGAUAAGUUUAUUUUUUUAAUAGUAAUCACCAAUUACUUUAACAUUCUCACCAUUUAAAAAAUGUAUAUUUACCUUUGAAAAUGCCUUUUUUUUAAUUUUUCUUUUUGGUUUUGAUCUUGAAAACUACUUAUAUGGGACUUUAUUACAAAUAAUUUUUUUUAAGCACUUUUUAUUUUAUGAUUUUGAAAAUCAAUUAUGUGAGACUAUUAUUCAAACAAAUGCAUAAAGAUAAAAUUUCAUAGAAAAGUUGAAAGCAUUCAUUUCUUCCAAAAUAAAAUUCAACAAGAUUAAUUUAAAAAACUCCUAAGGACACUAUACAUAUGUCAUACAUAAUAGGUCAAAGGUUAAAAAAAAUCAUCUUAUCUUGAUUUUUCAACACUCGAAACCUUUUUUCACAUUUUUACUAUUUACAUUUUGCAACUAGAUAGAGUUAAUUUCCAUUAUUCCAUUAGUUAUAGAGUCAGAAUACCACUAUUGAUAAGAUCCUCAACAUUUUCUUUUAGUUGUCUAUAUUUUUCAAUUGAAUGGUCAAUUGUCCUCAUAUGAUAAUCACACUUGCCAUUAUGAUCAUAACUCAUUGUCAAUGGAUUUGGUGUUAUUUUUGGAGGCACAAGAGUAAGCUACCGGCCUUCUAUUAUUAAAGGUAAAAGGUAAAAGGUAAAAAAUAAGGAUUGAAAAUUUUUCUCAAUUAUUUUUUAGUCUUUUUUUAUUCUUUGUUAGUCAGGUGGUAGGUUCAAGUGUGGGAACAUGAUCAUGAAUGGUAAUCCAAGGAUGAAGAUUUUUCAAAAAGUCAAAGUAAUAGCUUAGUUGAUAAAGAUAUGAGCUUUUAGAGAUAUUACUUAUAACUAAAAAUGGGGUUGAUGACAAGGAUAAAAAUUAUAGAGGAUAAAUUCUUGGGUAAAUGCCCCUCAAAUGUGACUGCUUGUACCUUCAUUUCAUUCUUUUCCAAUGUAUUUCUUUUUUCAACAUCAGUUGCAUCUUUCAACUUAAUCAUGCCAUCCUUGAUUGUAUUUUUUAUCAUUUUUUUAGUAAUCACUAUGUCAGCAAAAUUUUUAAAGAUAUUACUAAUAAUCUUUUCAUAAUAGGGAGUGUUCAGGGAAUUGACAAACAGAACAGAGAUUUUUUUCUUUGAUAGGGGUGGUUGUAUUUAGGCUACCAUAUCUCUCUAUCUGUAUGUAUAUUUUUUAAAAGUUUUGGUUGACCUUUUCUUCAUGUUUUGUAAGGAUAACCUAUCUGGCAUCAUAUCUUUAACAUACUUAUAUUAUGCUAAAAAGGCCCUAGCCAAAUCAUUUUAGGAGCAAAUCUUGCUUCGAUCUAGCUAGGCUUAUCACCUUGUUAUAGACCCAAUGAGACUAUCUUGAAAGUAAUGAAUUAAUAACUUAUCAUCAUAAGUGUAACCCAUUAUCUUUCAAUAGUACAUGGGGAUGUGUGUUAAGGGGCAUCUCAUUUUAUCAUACUUCUUGAAGUUAGAAAUCUUAAACUUUGUAAGGAUAACCAAGUCAGGAUCUAGGUUAAGCUUAUUGGCAUUAAUAUUCUUGAAAACAUCAUUUUUUUCCACUACCUCGAGUCUCUUUUCUAGUAACUUAUACUUGUCUUUUAGGUCAAUUUUAUCAAUCAGCUUAGGUAUCCCUUUCAACUUCUCCCAUUCUUUGGGGUCAUCUAGGUUAGGUAUCAUAAUGAGAUAAUAAAGGGUAGGCCUGGGAUUGAUAUUCAUCUAAACUGGGGGUAACUUGGCAGAAGUAUCAAAAUAAGGUUGAUGGGUUACUAAAGGUGUUUGUGACAUAUAGAGGUCUUGAACAUAUGGAUAUUAUGUGAACCUAGAUGGAUAUGAUGGUUUUUCAACACGGUUGUUUCCUCUCUUGCCCUAUGUGUUUUAACAAUCCCUUUUUCCUUUUGUCAAACUUGCUAAUAUCUAUUUUAAUUUUGCUAACUACCUAUCCAUAUUCUGUUAUAUUUUUGUAACUAUUUCCCCGAUCUCUCUUUAGGCCCUUUCCAUUAUAUCCAUUCGACUUAUAGUUUCAUUUUCCAUGAUUUUGGUAUAAGUUUGAGUGUUGUAAGUACGUAGACUUAACUGAUCUUGUUUCCUAUGACAUGCUAUCCCUGAACAUUUUAUUAAUUACUUGAAGUUAGAAAUGCAUGACAUGAAUUCUAUUAUUGAAACUUUCAAAAAUAUCUUUUUACUUCAAACACAUACUUACAAUCAUUAUUCUUUGUCCUUAGCUAGUAUGAAAAAUAAUGGAUUCAAACAAAUGAUGCAUGAUAUGCAAGUCAAAUUUUAUUAUUAUUGAAAAAAAGCUCAAUUUUCAUCCUAUAUUCAAGUUGGGUUGUUUAAAGACAUUCUUUUCGCCUCAAAAGUUACAUGAAAGCAUAUUUACAACUAUCAUUCUUUUUCAUGGGAUCUUUUAGGCAUAUGAAAUGUAAAUAGAGACAUCCAUUCAUAGAAAAUUCAAGUCAAAAGACUUUUUCGUUCAUUCCCAAAAGUUUUAGGUUUACACAUCAUGAACUAUCCUAAGCUAAGGCCAUAAAGUGCUAGACUCACUCAUACUCCCCAUUGCCUCAUCUAAGAAAUUCAAAAAAAGUUGACUACGAUUGCUGGUAGGGAUAACCCUUUGCUUUAAAGCUUUUACUUUUUAUUCAUUAUCUUGGCCAGUUUUAUUACUGCCUAUAGCACUGCUUACUAUCUUGGCAUGGAUCAAUAAAGGAUUCUUGUAAAUAAUUGGCUUCAUUUCGGCAUCAAAACUCAAAUAUUCAACUUUUAUCAAUCCAUGUAGCUUGUAUUUCAAUGGAAUGCAGUCUUCUAGAGAAUAGACCAUAACAUCAAAAUGGUAUUCACAUAAGGCAUUCGGGUCAUACCAUUUGGGAUAAGGUGGUUUGAAGGGUUCAAUAGGGACAAGGGCAAUGAGGUAAUUUUUUAAGAGUAGUGGGUAUAAAUCUAAGACAUGGGUAUUGGAUCAAUAGGGGUUUUUCCUUUGAUCUUAGUGGUGCGAGAGUUUUUCUAUUCUAUGGUUCAUUUACUUUGUUGAAAAUACAGUGGUGUAGUUGGUCUUGGAGUGAAUUGGGAAACUUUAGGUCAAAAAUUAGGUUGAAAAGAUGGUGUGAUAGGAUAGCAUACUGAACAAGUGAUUUUGAAAUGUAAGGUAGUGGAUAUGAAUUCAUGUGUGAAUUUCUUAUAGGUUGCAUGAAGUUUGGGGACCUAAUCCUAGGCGCUUGCAAAAAAGGUUGAAAACAGUCAUGAAAAGUACUUAAGUGUGCGUUUAGACUUAGGAUAAUUGGUGAGGAUUGUUUGAAACUGGGUGACUCCAUCUUGAAAAUCAAACUUUUGAGUUCAAUCAUUUACAUGACCAAUUCACCCAUUCCUUUCUUGAGCUCGCCCAAACUUUGAUCACUAUUCGAAUUAUCUAAUGCCUUGUAUGCCUAGGAAAAGUACUGAAACCAGCAACAGUCAAUUGAUAUUUGAUAUGAUGGAAUUUGGAAUGACAACAAUCCUUGAGAAGUAACAAAAUUAACCAUACCCCUAUCUAUAACAAAUUCUAUCAAUUAAGUAAUCUAUUGUUUCAUCUCUCGAAGCUCGAGCCAAAAUUUCUUUUGAUUUAACUCCAAUGCACUAAUCCUUGCUUCCUAUUAAGGUUCCAUUUUCACCAUUUUGAUUCCCACCAAGAUAGUCAUUUUAUUAUGUAAUUUAGACCAAAAAUUAUAUAUUAUUACCCUUAUUGAUGAAUGCCACAAAAAUAAUUUCUAACUUAUAUGGCACACAAAGCAUGUAUAUGUAUAUGAAUAUGAAAAUGAUGCUUAAAGAAUGUCAAGAAAUGCAAAUAUGCCCAAAAUGAUGAAUUUUUUCAUGUACCAAGCACCAAAUGAUAAAAAUUUCAUCACUUAUGAAUGUGUAUGUAAGGAAUGUAAUGUUGUAGUGUAGGGAUGAUAGGGUAUGGAAUGCAAUGCAUGUUCCAUAAAACCCUACCAUUCAUGAAUCUAUAUGCAUGAAAUGCCACAACAUAUUACAUGAGUAUUAGAUAUAUACCUAUGACUAAUGCAACAUAUUUGUAUGCAAUGCACUAACCUAUCAUGUGAAUGAGAUAUGUUUACAUAGAAUGCGAUGCAUGUGUUGUGUUGGCCUAAUAAGGUUGACAUUACCUUAAAAUAUAUAAUGAGAUGAAAUGCAUGCACUACCUAUUAAGAUGUGCAUGGGAUGCAUGUGUAUUAAAUGGAAUGUAUGUACUAUUUAUUGAUGUGGAUGGGAUGAAAUACAUGUAUCAUUUUUUAUUGAUGUGCAUGAGAUAUGGUACAUAUAUUAUUUUAUUAUCAUGUGCAUGAGAUGAGGUACAUAUAUUAUCUUAUUAUUUUAAUUUUUUUAAAAGAUAAAAAUGUAUGCAAAAGAUCAAAUGAAAAUGCUAAAAAUGAAACAACAGUCAAACUUAAAAUUCUUUUUUUUUAAUUAGGAAAAGAAAAAAAUUCAAGAAUGCACAUUUUUUAUCGCACAGAAUAACUAGAAUUCAAAGAUUUUUUUCUAUCUUUUAUUAAUUUAUAUCUGGCCAAUAAACGAAGAAUUAAAAAAAAACUUUUAUUUUUGAAAAUUUUUGUUUUUUUUUUAUUGGAUAAUACUAAAAAAAAUUUUCAUUUUAUUUUAAAACAUUUUUGAAAAUGCAAAUUUUGGAUAACCACAAAAUGAAUAAACUAUAUGUUAAAAGAAUUUUGUUUUUAAAUGUUUUUUUUUCAAAAUUUUAAUUUUAUCCACGCCAUUAUUGUCCCUACAUGCAUAUUGUAUUAGAGUGGCCUAAUUUAAGGUACUUUUUUCUAAAAGGUUGGCAAAGGUUUACCUAAGGCUAUUUCCUUAAAGUUCAUGAUAUAUUGAAUAAGGACUUAUACGUCUAAAGGUUCUCAAAUUAUUUCUCACCAGCAUCCACACAAGACUAGUAAGGCACCCUAAUUCUCACCCAUUAUAGGUUACAAACGAAAAGUGUUCACUUAGUGUGGGAGUAUUUCGCUUGCCAUUGCAAAGGUUAUCACCUCACGAGAGCAAAAGUACUCUGCUCUCUUCAAAAAUAGACAAAGUUAGGGUAUAGAGCUCAUGCAUGAUAUGAGAUGUGUCUUCGUGUAUAUGAGAGAAAAUGACAUCGCAAUUUCUAUCCUACAUGUCCCACAAUUUAUUAAGAAUAACAUAUAUAAAAAUAAAAUAAUGGAUAAAUGACAUAAUUUAAAUGAAAUGCAUGUAAAUGUUUUAUUACUAUUGUUAUUUAAACAAAAUCAAAAUCAAGAAAAUUAAAGUUAAAUACCAAUUAAGACCAUUAAAUCAAAAUUAAAGAUAACAUAUAAUUAGUUUUCUAGCUUGACUUUCUAAAAAAAUAAUAUCCCUAGUAGAGUCGCCAAGCUAUCAUAAGGGUUUUGGGGUUUACUAGAUGAAUUUGAAAAUAAAAAAGAGUCACCACUAAUCUUUGUUGGUUAGGUGCAAUUGAUCAUUUAUUAAAAUUUAUCCUUUUAAUAAAAAUUUUAAAAUUAAUUAAAACUUUAUCAAAAAGAUAAUUUUUGGUCUGCGAAAACAGUUUAAGUUCAAAAGUUGGUUACACGUGGAGAAUGAUUAGCACCCCAACAGUGCUUGUUUAAAACGAUACCAAUUAAUUAUCUGUUAUCUUUCAUUUUUGACUAAAAUGAUCUUAAUUUUUGUAUUUAAAGUUUAAUUUUCUUAAUUUUCUUUAUUGUAAAAAAAGCUAUUUUAUCAUUUUACUUUAGUAUUUUUUUUUAUUUUUGAAAAAAAAAUAAGAACCUUGCAUAUUGAAAAAUUCUUGAAAAUAUUCUAAUCCUUCAGCAAUAUUAUAAAAACUUUCUCACCUAAGGAAUUCUUAGGACUUUACUCAAAAUUAUCAAAAAUCUUAUUCUUGUUGAUUCAUAGUUAUCAUCAAAUUUUAUAUUUAAUAAAUUGAUUGUAGAAUAUGAUAACUAUGAUUUAAUCAAAUAAUAUUUUUUAAAAUUUAUUUUUAAUACUAAAAUUAAAAGUCGCUCUGAAAAAUUAUUCUUAUUGCUCCAAUACGUUUGCAAUAUUUUAGAUAAAUUUUCAUUAUUUAUAAAUAAUCACUACUCAAAUUUCUUUAGGAUCUCAUUCUUGGAGAUUCCAUUUUUUUAUAAUUAUUAAAAUUUAAAAACCAUGUAAUAAUAUAAUUAUUUAUAAAUAAGUUUAUUUCUUAAAAAAAACCAUAUUCUUAUAAAUAUUUGAUUUUUUUUAUUUUUUGGGUGAAAAAUUAUUCAAAUUAAAAAAAUAAAAUAAAAAUUUUUGUAUUGAAAAGAGUUUCUAAAUAUUCCAAUACUUUAAUAAAUUUUAGAAGUCUUUUCUCACCUAGGGAACUCUUAGGAAUCACUAUUUAGAUUUCUUGGAGUCCCAUCAUCAGAUUUCAUAAAAAAAAAUAAAAAUAUAUGAAUUAAUUUAUUAUUAUUAUUUUAUUUUUUUAAAAUUUAUUUUCAUAAGGAAAAUUUUUUUUUUAAGCAUGUAUGCAUACAAAAAAAAAAGAAUAAAUAAACAUAAUAAAAAUAAGCUAAAAGCAUUAAUGAUUAUACCUUACUAAGCUUUGGAGUUAAGCCUAAAGAAAAUCCAAAAAAUGGCUUAAUGUCAGGUCCACAACUAAUGAGCUGGGCUAAAUUCACGGGUCAUAGGCUGGGUCAACAAUGUUGGGCACUCUCUGGUCCUUGGUAAGGAUGGGUUGGAUCUAAUGUAAGUUAGAUUGGUAGAUUGGCCUAGGAAUUCUUCCUCUUAUUGCCUCAACAGUGCAUUUAGCACCAAAACCUUUUUUUUUUUUUAGUAAAAGCUAUUAAAGGUAGACCUUUAAAAAAAAAAAUGCUCAUUCUACCUUUUCAUUUAAAAAAAAAAUCAAUUCUCCAAACUUCUCCCAAUAGCUAUUAAUCUUUUCCAGAUUCAAGCACUAGCAUUAUCACUCCUUUGUCACCAAUCACCAUUCAUUGGCUGUGAUUUAUUCCUUUUUCUCCUUUUUUUCUUCUUUUCUCCUUAUCCUUUCUAGUCCCACGAUCUCAACCCUAAAAAAAACUUUUCAAUCACCAAUCCCAAAUGCCACCAACGUCGUUGCCACCCAUCAAGGCCUUCAAUAUCACCUCAACUUUUGCUUUACCACUCAUUUUUCUUUUUUUUAUAUUUUUUGUCCUAUUUUUUUAAAUGAAACUAAUUUUUUUUUGUUUCAUAGGAUUCACUCGACGUUGGAUUCCUCCCUAUGAGGAGGAUUGUGUUUUAUUUGAUUUUUUUUUAAUUUUUUAUGGCUGUGGAUAGGUUAUGGGUGGGGUAUUUUUUUGUGGGUUUUUUUAUGGUUUUUGGGUGAAGGAAUGGUGGCUAGGUAAGGGUUGUCACAGUGGAGCUUAGGGGUUUUAUAGUAGAGAUUAAGUUAGGGGAUGAAAAAAAAAAGUGGGUUUUUUUAGGUUGGUCCUUUUUGAAGGUUGAAGAAACUAUUGAGUUUGUUUUGGCUGUGGAGUAUUGCAGUUGAAAAGGUGACAAGCGUUGAGGGAGAAAGGACUUGGUGUAGGGGUUGUUUGAAAUAGGGUUGGAGCUUGGAUUUUUUUUUUGUAGCAUCUUCCUUUGCCCAAAAUUGAUCUCUCUUUGUUUUGUGUUGAUUCUAGCUUAGUUUUAAGUAAAUGGAAUAUACAAGGUAGAUCAACUGAUGGUAUGAGUGAGUGAAUGAGUGACGGUAAGGGUAAAGGUGAUUUGUGUCAAGGACUCUAGGAUACGGGCGAUAAGGUUGGCAUGAGCCAGGCUAGUGUUGGGGCUGGAACUUUUGGGGUGGACCUGGCAAGGGCUAUGUCUUUGAAAUGGUAAUGACGGGUUGGGGUUUAGGACCUUCUGGUCGAAGGCUUUUGAAACUUGGUGUUGGUGCUUGCAGCUUGGAAAAAAAGGUGGCUAUGUGUUGAUGGGAAUAGUAGUCAAGGUUGGGUGAAGGUGUUUUAGAAGGGCCGAUGUUCAAGUCUGGGUGAGGAGAGGCUGUUGAUGGUGUGAGGGUUGGUUAGGGCUUGGCCAAGGUUGGUUUUCCUAGGUGUGGAGUGUGCAAAUGUGGAGGGUUCAAAGAUUUUCCUUUUGUAAUUUUUUUCUCCCUUUUUUCCAAAAUCCCCCUCAUGUAUUUAUAUCUAUCGAUCUGUAUAAUAAGCCACAACAAUUCAAUUUUCCAUAGAACUACCACAAAUUUCUGCAUCACACUAAAAAUUUGGCUUUUUCGAGUCACAGAUGGUGUUUUACAUGUAUGCUUGUCGACCACUACCUAUCAUUUACUUGUUUUUUAUUCUUUGUCUUUUUUUUAAUUACCUUUUUUAAAAUUAUUAUUCAAUUAAUUGAAUUUAAUUAAUUUCAAAUAAAGAAAUAAAAAUAAAAUUGGGAUUUAAAAUUUAAUUUGGGCCAAAAAUUGGAGCAUAGGGCCUGAAUAUUGAUUUGAGCUUUUAUUUGGCCUUAAAGAUCAAGUGAUUGAAUUUUGACUUGAGAUUAAACUAAAUUGAACUUUAGGAUUCAAACUUUACAUCAGAUUAGAUUUUAAUUCAUGUAAAUGAUUAAGAAACAAUUAAUCUGAGGUCAAUUUGAAACAUAUUAAUUCAAUUACCGUGCUCGAAUUAGUCCAAAUUAAAUUAUUUGAAUCAAACAUACAAAUCAAACAAAUGUCAAAUCAAUCCAGAUUAAAUUAGGUUAAAUCCCAAAUUAUGCAAAUUGAUUUGGAAGUGAUUAAUUUGGGACAAACUUGAACUUGCUUAAUUUAAUUAAAUCCAAUUAAGUUAGCUCAAAUUCAAAUGUUAAAAUCAAAAUUUAAAAUAAUCAAACAAAUGUGAGUUGCGUUGGAUAAAAGUGAAUGUCUACAAGUCUCUCUUAAGAAAUUUAAAACAUUAAGAAAAUCUUAACACAUUGCAAUUAUGACUUUAGCCAAUUAGGGGAAAACUUGUUCUUCUUUCGUUGAUAUGGGUGUGGAAACUAUCUUAAUUAUUACUAGUUAUUAUAUAAGUGUGUACUAGUAAAAAGAGAUGUACAUAACACUAUUAAAAAUUAUUUUAUCAUUUUUACUAGCAAUUAGUGCAUGUUACUAGAAAUUAUUUUAUCAUUAUUUUAUUUUAAUAAUAAUCUUCUAAACUAAGUUAAGAGUCUUUGAGUGUUUUAUGACAUUUUCUACAUUUAGUUUAUUUGUCGGGUUUAUUAGUUUGUUUAGUAUUUUUAAGAGGUGAAAUCAUUUUACAAAUCAAUUAGUUUUACAAUGUUGAGUUUAUAUAUUUCUAUUCUAAGUUGAAGUCUAAUGUACACUUAAUUCAGCAAAAUAAUAAGAAUUCUUUCUUUCAGCCUUCCUUUAUUAGUUUUUCUUUUUUCUUACAAAUAUUUCCUCUAUUUUGUUACGUGGUAUUAGAGCCUUGGUUAAAGUUUUUAGUUUUUCAUUCUAUUGUCUAUGAAAUAGUUGUUUUGUUGGAAAAGUUUAAAGAUUGCUAAGAGAAAUUGCUUAGGAGAUGGAAGCUAUUAAUGGGAAUUCUCAAACACAACAUGUUAUCGACAAGGUCAUGAUUUAUUGAUGUGAUAAUUCUAGCAGAUACCCAAGAAAGUAUUGAACUUUGAAGGAAAUGAAUGAUCAAUUAAAGAAAGGCAUUCUUUGUGUUGAGCUCUUUAAUUAGCAAAUAGUACAUUAGUCAUAUUCUUGAUGUCAACUCUCCAAAGUAAGUAUGGGAGAUUCUUGAAAAGGUGUUCACUAAAAAAAACAAUAGCAAGAUUAUAAUUCUUGGAAAAUGAGUUACUAACAAUAACUUAAGAAGGUAUACAAUUUCAUAAUAUUUCUUGCAAAUUAAGAAUAUUUGCUCUAAAAUUUUAGAAUUUGAUAACAAGAUAAAUGAAUGACAUCUAUAAUGAAACCUUAUUCACAACUUGAAGAAAGAGUUUAUGUUUUUUGUCAUCCCAAUCCAAGGAUAGGCACAAAAACCAUUAGUUGAAAUAAAGAAUUGGCUUUCUAAUUAAAAGGCAUUAGCUAAGCAAAUGGUACAUAAAAGUGUUUAAACCAAAGUUUUCUUAUUCUCAAAAGGCCAAUCAAAUGAGAAGGCUGUUGCAAUCAUAAGCAAGAAUUCUUCAAAAAGGUUUAAAUAUAAGGAAAUGAAAUGGCAAUAAUCAUAUCAAAUGUUUUAGAUGAGAAAAAAUUGAACAUGUCAAGAAAAAUUGUUGCUUAAAGCUCUCAAAGGUAAACAUUGCAUACAAAAUGAAGACCAUAAUCAGAUUAUAUGAAAGCAGUGAUUUCUUACUGAAGUUAUUAAAAAUGGAGACGUAGGUGCUAAAUCGAACUCAAUUGAAGCCUUUGUUAACUAUAUCAACUAAAAGAUAAUUGGAUCAUAGAUUUUGGUUGUUUGCAUCAUCUAACUGGCAAUGUUUCAUUAUUAUUAUAAUUGCAAAAGAGAGAGUGACUGUCACAACUAAGAACUCAAUCCAUCCAUGGGAAAAAGAAUGUGUCCUGAAGCUUGAUAAUGAAUCCAAGGCUAAGAGUGUUCUUUUAAACAAUGUCUACCAUGUUUCAAGUUUGAAGAAAAACAAUUUCAAUUACUAACUCUAGAAAGUAUGUUUUUCUUUCGCCAAACAAUGUCAAACUACUUGUUAAAAUGAGAAAUAUAGAAGUUGAAGUAGUUUUUAUUGGUGAGAAGAAAGGGUACUUAUUUGUGGUAAUAGCAUAGAAAGCUUAUGUGAAGAAAACAAGCCAAACUGGCAAUGCAAUAAUUUAACGUGCAUGGUUAGGCCAUUUAAGCUAUCAAAUGUUGAAGAUAAUCUUUUCAAAGAAGUUGUUAGAUGGAAUUCUAGCCCUUAAACAUGUAUAAGAAAAUGUAAUUUAUUAAAGAUGUCAGUAUGGUAAAUCACAUCAUCUUCUUUUUAAAAGUUCAUGUAACCAAAGGUUAUAUUUUUUUGAACUCAUUUAUACAGAUUUGAUGGGCCCAAAAAAAACACCAAGUUAUAGUGUUAUCAUUACAUAAUGGUAUUGAUGGAUGACUUCUCCAAAUUCACUUGGGUGUAUUUUUUGAAAGAAAAAAAGUGAGGCCUUGUCCAAGUUCGUGAAAUUCAAGAAUUCUAUGGAGAAAGAAUUUGGUUGAAAGAUAAAAUGUCUGAGAAGUGAUAAUGGUAGUGAGAACAUGUCAAAUGAAAAUUUCAAAUAUAGCAACAACAAUAACAUUCAAUGCCCAAUAACAUGUUCGGGAACCCCUUAACAAAAUGAAGUUGCUAAAUAAAAAUUAGCUCACCUUUAUGCAACUAGUUUUUCAUGGCUGCAUGAUAUGAAACUUCCUCAAGAGCUUUAGACAAAAGAUAUUCUAUCAGCAUUCAUAUGAUAAAUCACCUACCACCAUAGUCAAGUAAAUAAAAGUCUCUUUUUCAGUUCUUAUAUGAGAUAAAGCCAAAUGUAAAUUAUUUUCAUGUCUUUGGAUCCAUUUCAUAUGUUUAUGUUCCUAAACAAAAUCGAACUAAACUUGAUCCAAGGGUAAAGAAAUGUGUAUUUGUUGGCUAUGACUUACACAGGAAAAAGUGGAGGUGUAUGAAUUUAGAGAUAAAAAAUUUAUUAUGUUUAGGGAUGUUGUGUUCAAUGAGGUAUCAUCUUCUUAUUUCACUCCAAAACUCACUAGCAAUGAUGUUGUCCUUGAUAGUGAUGGUCUAAAGAACUUGGAGCUAUUUCUUAAGCCAAAUAUACAAGCUUCAAGUGAUGUUAGUUUUAGACGUGAAGGAAAUGAAGAUCCUUUGCCAUCUAAACUAGAAAACAUAGAUUCAAUUAUGGUGAAUAUGUUAUAACAAGAUCAACAAGGGAAAGAAGACAACUAGAUCAUCUUAAAGACUAUUAAGUACAACUAAAUUAUUAUUCAACUGCUUUAGUCUCUUUUUAAGAACAUUAGGUGAAGAACAAGUAUAAAAUAAUAAAGCUAAAAGAUGUCUUGAAUAGGAAAAAGCAAUACAAGAAGAAAUUGAAGUCUUAGAAAAGAACAAAACUUGGAAACUUGUAUGUAUACUGGAUAAUCAUAAACCAACUAUUUACAAAUAUGUUAAUCAAUUGAAAAAGAAACUAGAUGGAAUGAUUGAGAGACACAAGGUUAGACUCAUUGCUCGUAGAUUCUUUCAAAGUUAUGGGUUGGACUAUGAAAAGACUUUUAGUCUAGUUGCAAAGAUGAUGCGUGCGAGAUCAAUUAUUUCACUUAUUGCCUUUAAAGGUUGGAAGCUAUGGCAGUUUGAUAUAAAGAAUGCAUUUCUUUAUGGAGAUCUAGACCAUGAUGUUUUCAUGAAGCAACCUGAAAGUUUCUUUUUUAAGCUGUUAGCUCAAAGGAAUGAAUUAACCAAGAGGAAGGUGAAUUGGUUUAUUAUAAAUUAUCAUAAAUGAUUAGCCAAUAUAAAAAUUAAAACAAAUAUAAAUUUAUAAACCAAAAUAAGUAAUAUAACAAUAUAUAUAAGCACAAGUAAAUAACUUGAAAAUUAAAAAAGUAGAGAUAAAAGGUCAAACUUUAGGAAUUAUAAAGGGUUGGCCCUUCCAAUGGCACCUAUGUCCUCUCCCUUAACUUCACUUACUAAAGAGCCCAAUCCACUAUAUCUUGAAUACUAGAACCAACCUUUCUAAGGCUAAAAUUAUAAUCUCACAUAAACCCCACAAAGGUUUUUCCAAUAUCUUACAAAUUUACUUAAAGGUUAUUCUCCCCCUUAAGUCUACUAUCUCAAAAGAUAAGCAAAAGUUUUUGCAAAUUAAAUAACAUUUCUAAGGAUUGGUGUUUACUAGCUGAAGUAUAAGUAAUUUGUGGAAAUGAAAAGUGAAAGAGUUUGGAUACAAAAAAUAAAGAAAAAGCUCAAAAACCUUUUUUUGAUCUUUAAAUGCUUGAAGGAAACGAAGAAUAGAUGUAGCUUUUCAUCUUAUUGAAUGGCUUGGAAGACUUCACGUCUUCUCCCUUAACUUCUCUUGCUAAAGAGCCUAAUCCACUAUAUCUUGAAUAGUACAAUCAAACUUUCCAAGGCUAAAAUUAUAAUCUCAUAUAAACCCUCAAAGGUUUUUCCAAUUUCUCACAAAUUCACUCAAAGGUUACUCUUCCUUUUAGGUUUACUAUCUCAAAAGAUAUACAAGAGUUUUUACAAAUUAAAUAACAUCUUUAAAGUUGGGUGUUUGCUAGUUAAAGUAUAAGUAAUUUGUGGAAAUGAAAAGUGAAAGAGUUUGGAUACAAUAAAUAAAAAAAUAAGAUCAAAAACCUUUUUCUUGAUCUUUGAAUGCUUGAAGGAAAUGAAGAAUAAAUGUAGCUUUUCAUCUUGUUAAAUGGCUUAGAAUACCUCUUUAUAUAAAGAAGAAUGGAAUUGAGCCAUUGCAAUUGAAUAAUAUUGAAAAAUAUCAUCUUUCUCUUAUUUCAAAUAGCCAUUUGGAGCUAUUUGCAAAAAAUCGACCAAUCCUAUGCAAAAAAGGAUCAAUCGGGUUAUCUGACAUUCAAAAAAAAAUUUUUGUAUCAUUAGGAGAACCGAUUGAUCCAUUUUGGUAAGAGAUUGAUUGGUUAGCUUUACAAGCCAAAUCGAGCUUUCAAGUUAAAAAAACCAAUCAAUUGGUUUUCAAAACCAAUGAUCCAAUCUGAAAACUAAUUGAUCCAUUUCAAUAAUGGAUCAAUUUAUUUUUGCCAAAUUUUUGUUCGAAAACAUUUUAUGUAAUAAACAAUUGAUUGCUUCUUAGAGGCAAUUGAUUGCUUCUAGGUUUUCAACCCAAGGUAUCAAUCCUAUUUUAGAAGGAUGGAUCCCAUUUUUUCAUUUUUGUAUAAACUUAGUUUUAAUUGAAAAGAAAGAUUAUUUUUGGUUUGAAAACAUUUUUCAUUCAAAAACUAUCUUGCAAAAUUGUUUCUUUUUUAAUUCAAAGCAAUUUAAACCAAUUUUGCAAUUUGAUUUCCCAAGUAUAAAACAUUGUUUUUAUUUAGUACAAAUAAAUUUAUCAAUUUAAUAGCAAGUACUAAAUGAAUUAAGAUAUUUAUCCUUAAUGUUUUGUCAUUUUUAAAUAAAAAUCAAUUUAAGGCUAAAAAUAUUCCCUUUUUGAUAUGACAAAACUUAAGGAUAAACUUCUUGAAAAACUCUCUUUAAAUUUAUGAACAUUUUUGAAAAAUCAAUUAUGAAAAUGACAAACUCCCCCUUAAUUAAAGCAUAAUCAAUCAAAUAAAAAUUUCAACAAAUUUUCAGUGGGUAUAAGAAUUUUCUAUUAAAGUUGAAUAGGCCUUUUAAGCACCAUUCAAAACCAUCAUAUAAAAAUUAUGGUAAAAAAUUACAGAUUUUACUUGAAUGUCGAAAUGCAAGAAACACAAAAAUUGUGGUAAUUUUUUGAAUUCAUUUUAUACAGACAAUAAAUUUAUUAUUACAAAUAUAUUAUGAAUUAAUUAUUAAACUUGGUAGCUUUAUUUAAUAAAUUUAUAAAAGAAAGCAAAAGAGAAAAUGGCCGCUAGGCAGAAGGAGCAUCUGAUUAUUAUGUCAACAUUAAAGGCAUGGAAGAUUGGAUAUUCACAGAAGUUGUUGGAAAAGAAAGACAUGGACUGGUUCGAGCACUUGGAUUGAGUCCAACACUAUCUAGCUACUAUAGACGUAGCUCUUGGUAAUAUACAUUUUCAACAAGUUAGUCUUCACAAGACAUCUCCAUAUUAAAAGGAAUUGCAAAUUAUGCAACUAUAUGUUAAGAAAAUAAAAACAGAAAAAAAAAAAAAGCAGAGCAUGAUAGAUUAGAAGAGAAGCAUGAUAGAAUUGAUGAAAAGAGUGCUAAAUUAGAUCAGUAGUGUGCAAGAUAUCAAUAAUUGCAUGAAUAAAUCGACAUUCUUAUGAAUGUUGUGAGAAAACAAUUUCCAACUACCAACCUAAGUGGGCCACCAACUCAAGUAUUAAAUUUACUAACUAUUUAUUUUUUUAAUAUUAGAAAUAACUUAUUAUUAAGUGUAAACAUUUGUUUUACUUUAUUUCGUAAAUUCUUAAGCACGUUAAUGAUCAUAGUGGAAAAAAUCCUUUAUCAAAUUGUAGUGCUCUAACUUUUGUCAGUCAUCAAUUUCAUACUUUUUGAAUUUUUACUUAAUUUAUGUAAUUGAAAAAAAAUUUAAAUUUUAUUGUAUUAAACUAUUUAAUGUACUGAAACAAAUUAUAUAUUUUGAUAUUUAAAUAUUUAUAAUAUUCAGUUUUUGAAUUUCAAUUAAGUUUUAUUUCUUUUAAUCCUUUUUUUAUAUAAUUAAAGUAGUAAAUAUAGAAACAAAUAAACAUUUAAAUUUAGAUAAUUCUUGAAUUUAGAGGCGUUUAUAGUAAAAAAUGCCGCUAACUAUAAGAUUUUUGGCUUUUACAAAAAGCAAUUAAAGAACAAAAAUAGUUGCUAAAUUUAGCAACGCUUGUGUCAAAAUCGCGACUAAAUUUAGUGGUGUUUGUGCCAAAAAAACCACUAAAUAGUUUAACAACAUUUGGAACCAAAACGUCGCUAAACAAUUAAUGAUGUUUGUUUAAAACACCAUUAAAUUUGGAGGCAUUUAUCUAAAAAAUGCCAUUAAGUUGGUGACCUUUGUCAUAGUAAUGCCGUUAAAUUCCUCGAUACAUGUAUAGCUGGUGCUGUUAGCGGUGUUUUUUCUAAAUGUCGUUAAAUGUUUAGCAGUGUUUAUAAACAUCACUAAAAAUAAAAAAAAACAUCGCUAAAAACCUAUUUUUCUAUAGUGUAACAAAGUAACUCAUGUAUAGCUUAUUUCGAGGAGAUAUUUUGAAUGGUUUGAGAAGUGCAAAUUUGCACUAAUUUGCACCUCUCAAACCAUUCAAAAUAUCUCCCUCCUUUUUUAUAACAAAAAGGAUCAAUUCAAAGCAUAUUAACGAAGAACAACAUAUAAUAUCAAUCAUUAUCAUAAGAGCAUGCAUUCAAACACAAGGAUACCAAUAUGUCUAAAUUCAAGCAUUUUAGAAUAAGAAUCACUAUAUGGCACUUAUGAGCAAAAGGAUAGAAAAAUGAUAUGCAUUUCCCAUAAAUCAUGUCAUACUAAAAUGUGCUUGAACUUUAUAACAUCUAUCAUAUAAGCAUAUAUACAAGCAUACUAAGUCAAACUCAUACAAAUUGUUAAGUAACUUAAAUUUCUCAUACAAUAGACCAAUUUAACUUCACAAUUUGCAAGCUUAUUUCAAUAGACCAUAAUUAAAUCAUAAGAGUAAUUUAUGGUACCAUGGUCAUUCAAAAACAUAAAUAAAGCAACAAUUUUAUUCAAAUAAGAACAAAUGUCUCAAAUUCAAUACAUGAUUUUCAUGAGAAAAUAAGUAUUGAAGAAUGAUAUGCACUCAUAAAUUAUAUUUGUUAUAAAAUGUGUUUAGAAUGUGAACUAUCAAUACCAUUUAAGUAAAUUUUCAGGCAUAUAUAUUCAAGCUCAAACCAAAUAUUAAUGAAAUGUUAUCAAAACUGAUAAAUUAUCUUAAUUCAAGCAAAGUUCUAUUAUAAGAUUUCUUUGUUUUUAACAAAAGAAGAAUUGAUCAACUUAAAGAACACACAAUUUUUGCUAGAAUGGUAUAAGAUAUAAUCUAUGCUUAGGAUAUGUACAUUCUAUAUCAAGCAUAAACCCAUAUUUUUGCAUGAUAAGCAUAAUUGAAUAGUGUCGGUAUCUAGCUUUCAAUAAGUAACUAAUCUCAAACAUAUAUAAAAGAUUCUAAACUAUAUUUUGAUAAUUUCAAAUGACAGAAACAAUCUUCCAUAAACAUAUCCUAUCCAAGAACCAUAGCUUAUAUAUAUAUAUAUAAUAAAAUAAAACAUGAGUACUAAUGAGCAAUAAGAUUCUUUUAUCAUGUUAUAUCAAAGAUUAUUAAGCCUAAUUAUACAAAUAUUUUAAACUAUAUUUUGAUAAUUUCAAGUGACAAAAAUGAUCUUCUAUAAACAUAUCCUAUCCAAGAACCAUAGCUCACACACACACACACACACAUAUAUAUAUAUAUAACAUGAGUACUAAUGAGUAAUAAGGUUUCUCCAUCAUGUUAGAACAAAGAUUAUACAAGUAUGAUUUUUCAAACUCAAUGAUCACAUACGCUAUAUCAAAGAAAUCAUAAAAGCAUAAUUGUGUAAAUAUAUUUCAAAUUAUUUUAAUGUAUACAAUGUACUUAAUCCAAACAUAUACAAAUAUUCAAGCAUAUAUUUCAAUCAAAUUCAUAAAACUGUACAAGCAUAUGCAAACACAAUUCAAAUAAAUUCAUAAUAAUCAUAUGCUAUUGUGUUUCAAAUCAUUUAAUAUAUAACAAUUACCCAUUUUAAAAAGAUGCAAACAUUUAAAUAUAGUUUGAUGCAUGCUAUCUCAAUGAUCUUAAUAAACAAACAUGUAUACUAAUUGCAAAAUAUGUGCUCAUAACCUAUUAAUCAAAAUAAUUUAAAGAUUAAGAAAUCAAUAUAGUAAACUCGUAGCCAUGUUCAAAGAUUAAUCUUAAGCUAAUAUUCAUGCAUUAAGAGCUAUAAAUCUAACAAAAAACUAGACAUGAAUAUCAAUCAAGAUGCAUUUAGUCAAUCCAAGCUUUUAAGAAUGUUAAUACAAUUUCUAUUAAGUAGCUUGGUGAUUAAUUUGUACAAAGUGUUCAUAUAUUCUAGCACAAUAUCUCAUUUAUGCACAUAAUAAAAAAAUCUUUACUUUUAACUACAUUGAUAUAAGCAUUGACAACAUAUAUAUAUAUAUAUUAAGAACGUAUCAAAUAAGUUCAAAUCUCAAAAUCACCUAGCUCUGUAUUCUCUCUUUAAAUUUGUGCAUAAAUAGAAUUUUAUCAAAUAAGUACACAACUCACUUGUGUCAAGCAUGUCAAGUAUUUAAUAUCAAGAAUUCAUGUACAAAACCAUGCUUAUGCUAAUGCUCAAAAAUUAAAGAAUGAAUAAUCAAGUAAGCAUUAAUAACAAUUUUGCAAAGUAUGAUAUUAUAAAUAUAAAAAAAUUCAUAUACAAAAUCAUGCUUAAACAUAUGUUCAUAAAAUUAAAAUUGAGAAUAUCAUCAAAAAUAUUUCUACCAACUAUGAAUAUAUAUAUAUAUUUACGAAAUACGCAAAUGCUCCUUAAAUUUAAGUAUAAAUAUAUCUAGUUGUUAACCAUCAAAAUCAAGUUCAACAAGCAUGAGAAUAUAUUUACAUCAAAAUUAUGCGCUCAAGAGCAUAAACAAAUGCCUACUUAACCUAUCUUCAUAUUUUCUCAAGACUAUGCAAUUUAUACCAUUUAUAUCCAUAAAAUCAAUUUUGCACAAUUAAUAUAUUUCAAUUAUAAUCAAAGAACCAAAAUGCAUAUGAUCGUUAAAAAGAAUAGGUAACAAAUAAAUCAUUUGAAAUAGACAUUAGGCUACACAUCUCUAAUUUUGUGUCCAGAAUUCCAUUUUUCAAAAUAACAGUGUAACUCCUUACUCUACUACAUAUAUAAGAGACAUUAUUUAUUUGAUUUUUAGUACUCAAAUUAUUUUGGGUCCUUGAGAGUUAGUAAUCAAGUCUCUUGUUCCUUUUUUUGGAACCUACAUUUACCUAAUUUUAAAUUGAACUUUUCUUCUUAUAGGAAAAAUGCAUAUGGAAUGAUCAUGAAAAUUUUCAAAAACUACAUUUGGUCAUUUUAGCAUGUAAGGGAUUAUUUAAAACAUUUUUUUUUUCAUUUGUUAACUCAUCAAAUUUCUUUUUCAAAUCAAAAUGUUCUUUUUCCAAAAUUUCAUUUAUCUUUUGGCAAGCUUCAAAAUCCAUUUUUAAUUUUUCAUUUUGUUUUUUUGCGUCAUCCUUAGUGCUCAUCAAAAAUUUAUUUCCAACAUUUAAUUUUGAAAUCAUUUUCUUAUGUCUCAAUCUUAAUUACUUAAAUUCCACAAAUAACUCAUUAAAAGCAAUUUGUAAUUCAUCAAAAAAAUUCACAAAAUUGAGUUUAGGAAGUUGAUACCUUGAAUACUUCAUGAGUCAUAAAGCAUGCUUUUUUUGGUUUAAGGAUUGGUGUUUAAUAGAAUCAUCUCUAUUUUCCUUACACUUGUUGAACAUUGGCUUUCACAAAACCUUUCUUUAACUUCCUCUUUCAUUAUUGUUUUUUCAUAUAUUUUUUCCAACUUUUCUCAAAGAUUCUUGGAGGCUAAGCAAUUCGAGACUAAAUUCAAGUUAUGGAAGUCAAGAGCUUCAUAGAUGAAUUUCUUGCCUAUUUCAUCAUCUUCUACCUUUUUCAAAAAAUUUUAAUUAUUUGAGAAAGCUCUAAGUCCUUCUUUAAUCUCAUUCCAUGUUUCAAAAGUGUAAGCCAAGAUAAAUAUGUGCAUUCUUCUCUUCCAUUCCCAAAAUUCAUACUUUAGAAAUCAAUAAGCCUUGUGUUCCUUCUCACCACCUAGGACAAUGUUUAUUUGAGCCAUUUAGAUCACUCUUAGGUUGUUAUACUUACAAAAAUAGAGUAUUAGCUCUAAUACCAAUUGCUAACUCAAAAGAAUGAAUUAACCAAGAUGAGGUGAAUUGGUUUAUUAUGAAUUUUAAUAAAAUAAUUAGCCAAUAUAAAAAUUAAAAAAAAUAUAAAUUUAUAAAUCAAAAUAAGCAAUAUAACAAUAUAUACAAGCACAAGUAAAUAACUUGAAAAUUAAAAGAGAAGAGGUAGAAGAUUAAAUACUAGGAUUUAUAGAGGUUUAACCCUUUCAAUGGCAUUUAUAUCUUUUUCCUUAGCUUCAUUGGCUAAAAGGCCUAAUCCACUAUAUUUUGAAUAUUAUAACUAACCUCUCCAAGGUUGAAAUUAUAAUCACACAAAAACCUAUAAAGGUUUUCCCAAUUUCUCACAAAUUUACUCAAAGGUUACUCUUCCCUUUAAGUCUACUCUCUAAAAUAGAUUCAAGAGUUUUUGCAAAUUAAAUAAUCUUUCUAAGGUUGAGUGUUUGCUAAUUGAAGUAAACGUAAUUUGUAGAAAUAAAGAGUGAAAGAGUUUGGAUACAACAAAUACAAAAAAUAAGCUCAAAAACUCUUGUCUUAAUCUUUGAAUGCUUGAAGGAAAUGAAUAAUAGAUGAAAGAAUGGAAUUAAGCCGUUACAAUUGAAUAAUAUUGAAAAUUUUCAUCUUUCUCUUCCUUCGAAGUACUCGUCUGAAGUUGUUUGGGUAAAAUCAAUUGAUCUUAUGUAGUAAAGGAUCGAUCAGGUUGGCUAAAAUUCAAAAUUCUUUGUAUUAUUAGGAAAACCGAGUGAUCCAUUUUAGGAAAGGAUCGAUCUAUUUUGGCUUUACAAGCCAAACCGAGCUCUCGAUUAAAAAAUGAAUCAAUUGGUUUUGAUUACUAGUUGAUCCAUUCUAAAAACCAAUCGAUUCAUUUUUGCCAAAUUUCUGUUCGAGACCAUUCUGUAUAAAAAAAUCAAUUGAUUGCUUCCUAGAGGCAAUCGAUUGCUUCUAGGGUUUCAACUAAGGGGAUUGAUCUUGUUUAGAGUGGAGUGAUCCCUUCUUUUCAUUUUUGUAUAAACUUAGUUUUAAUGGAGAAUAAAGGUUAUUUUUUGUCUUAAAACGUUUUCUAUUAAAAAACUAUCUUGCAAAAUUGUUCAUUUUUUAGUUCAAAACAAUAUAAACGAAUUUUGCAAUUUGAUUUCCCAAGUAUAAAACAUUGUUUUUAUUUAAUACAAAUAAAUUUAUCAAUUUAAUAGCAAAUACUAAACAAAUUAAAAUAUUUAUCCUUAAUGUUUUAUCAUUUCGAAAUGAAUAUUAAUUCAAGGUUAACAUAAACAGUUUCCUUAUCAUGUUUGACAUUGAAUGGCUUGAAACAAACACCCUGAGCUUGGUAUGAUAAGAUUGCUUAAUAUCUUAAUUUUUGUAUUUUCAAUGUUUUAGACUCAGAUUCUAGGUUAUUUUGCUAAAUAAGAAUCGAAUAUGCAUGUGCUGGUUUUAUUAGAUGUGGAUGAUGCGAUAAUUGGUGAGGACAAUUAUGCUGAAAUUUCUUGCCUAAGGAGUGACCAACGAAAAUUUUGGGUGAGGAUGGAUCCUUUUUGGUUUUGAAGUUGAAAAAUUAGAUCAAGGAUUUUUUUUUUUUCUUAAAGAAAUUAUGCUAGUAGCAGAUUAAAGCAUUUUAAUAUGUAGGAGACAAUGACUACAACCAUGGAGCAAUAUUUGAGGCAAAAAAAAAAGGAAGAAAAGUUGUUGAAAGAUUCAAGGACGUAAUGAUAACUUGUUGGAACCUUGAUCUACUUUAACUGUUACAAGACUUGAUAUUACGUAUUCUAGUGGUGUUAUAUCUCAGUUUAUGCAAUACCUUAGAGUUCCUCAUUUAGAUGCUGCUAAAAGAAUCCUACACUAUGUCAAAGGAUCUAUUGAUUAUGAUCUUAUGUACAAGAAAACGGGAUAAGUUUUCUUGAAUGGAUAUAUUGAUACAGAUUGGGCUGGAAAUAUCAAUGAUUGUCGAUCAACCUUGGGCUAUUCCUUCUAUGUUAGUUCUGUUGCACUUUCAUGGUGUAGUAAGUAGCAAUCAACAGUUGUUUUGUCAAGUACUGAAACAGAAUAUACAAAAACAACCAUGGCUACACAAGAGUGCAUUUCGCUUAAACGUCUAAUGGGCAAUAUUUUUUCUAAAGCUAAUUAUGCAAUGCAGAUUUUUUGUGACAAUGAAGGUGUUAUUAAAUUUGCUUCAAACCUAGUACUUCAUGCAAUGACAAAGCAUAUUCAAGUUCAUCAUCACUUUGCUAGAGAAAAAAUGUUACAUCAAGAGAUAGAGUUAAAAGGUGUUAGAAUAGAUGAAUAAGUGAAGUCAAAAAUUGAAAAAUUUCAAGUUGCACUUGGAGUCAUUGAUCAUAAGCAUGCGCUAAAGGGAAUGUUAAAAAUUAGUACAUGUUACUACAAAAUAUUUUAUUAUUAUUUUAUUUCAAAAAUAAUCCUUCAAACUAAGUCAUGAGCUUUGUAGUGUUUUUAGAACAGUUUUUGCACUUAGUUUAUCUGUUGGUCUGUUAGUUUGUUGAGUACUUUUGGGAGGCGGAGUCCUUUUACAAGUCAAUUAGUUUAAUAACGAUGAGUUUAUCUAUUUCUAAUCUAAGUUGAAGUGUGAUGUACACUUGGUUUAGCAAAAUAAUAAGAAUUCUUUCUUUUAACAUUCCUUCAUCAGUUUUUCCUUUUCCUACAAAAAUUUCCUCUAGUUUGUUACAAACACAAUUACUUAGCUAAUUUUAGAACUAAUUUGGUAGUCAAAUUUUAAUUUAUUUGGCCAACAGAUUUCACUAUCCAAUGUUAAUGAAAUUAAUUAUAUUCGAGUCCUUACCCAGCUGGCCUUUGAACAAAAUGGUUGUUUAAUGCUUAAGGCUGCAUUGGGAUCCUAUUGAAGCUUCAUUUCAAUGGGAAAUAACAACUUUUUUGAACAAUCUUGCCGUAGCACAUUAUUUGGAUAUCAAAUGAUGGUGUGAUCGCGCCAACAUAUUCACGCUGUGGAAGAAAAAAUCCACUAAAGGUAAAAGGAUUCCAUGGGAUUUUUCAAUCCCACUCUAGUCCUUAAAAAAAAAAAAAAAAAAAACCUUCAUUUCUUUUUUUUGGAAUUAUAAGGCACAUGCCUAGCUUUCUUUCCAUUAUUUUCUUUUUUUUUUUUUAUUUUAAACUUUGUUUUAAAUAAAAAUAAAUAUUAUUUUAAAAUAAUAAUGAUUAUUAUUUUUAGAUUAUUAUUAUAAAUUUAUGUAAACAUUUUAUUAUUAGUUUUUUUAAAAAAAUAUUUUAAUAUAUUAUUAUUUAUAUUUAUUUUCAUAUAGUUAUUAACAAAAUUAUUAUUUAACAUAAAAAUAAUGUUAAUAACUUUUAAUUAUUUAUUAAUUUCAAAUUUUUAAAAUAAUUUAAAUUUUUUAUUUUAUAUAAAUUUGAAUUUAUUGUCCUUAAUGGUUAUUUUAUCUUUUUACUAUAAUUCACUUCACCAUCAUCACUAUUUUUAUAUCACUAAUUUUAAUCUCACCGCUCCAAUAAUCAAUCUAAGGGUCCAUUUGGAUGGGGCGAUAAGAUUGAAAACAACAAGAGAAGUGAGAUUAAUUACUAUAGUUAUGAGAUUGGGUAUUAUGAUUGAGAGAUUAAAAUCAAUGGUGGAGAUAUGUGCUUAGAUGUAAAUGUAGAGGUUUGAGAAUGAAAAUGACUAUUAAAGAUAUUAAAUUAAAAUUUGUAUGAAAUAAAAAAAUUAAAAUAUUUAAUAUUUAUAAAAUUAUUAAAUUAUUAAAUUAUUUUUAUAUUAAAUAAUAAUUUUUUGACAUAAUAAAAUUUAUUUAUUAUAUUAAAUCAAAAAAUUAUUUCAUAAAUUUUAAUUAAAAAUAAUAAAAAGACAAAAUUCAAAAGCAUAAAAAAGUUAAGUGUGGUGAGCCACUACGCUCCUUCUCAUAAAUGAAAGAACAGAGAUUGAAUGGUGCCAUAUAAGCAUAAUUAGAUUGCGAUUUUGUUAUCCAAAUAGCAAAGCAUGAUGCAAUUGCAACAAAAAGAGGUUUAAAUUAAUGUUGUUAAUUUUGUUUCAGUAUCAAUCGUAUCGGCUUGUACACUUUAGUUAUUCCAAAACAUAGUCACUUAAAGAUGAUUUUUUAUACCAAACUUGAUACCAGAUAAUAAGGGUUGUUUUUGUUGGUUUCGAUAAAUUUCGAUGGAUUAACUUGUUUUGGCUAGUACAUGAAUGUGAAAUAUGUUUUGUAAUUUUAACUUACCUUAUGUUUUUUUUACUAUUUUUAACCUAAUAAAAAUAAAACUAAUUGACAAAAUAACCAUUGAAAACUAGAAUUUUCUAUAUCCUACUGUAACUUUUUUUUAUUUUAUUUUUUUUAAAUCAAAGUUUAUAAGUAUUUUAAUUUUUUUAAUAAAACAAUUGUACUCUCUCUCUAAAGUUUAACAAUUAUGAAUCCGAGAUUAUUUUUUUUUUGUUACAUCAGGAGGGUAAAACCUAGUACAAGCAAAGGGAAAAGAGGUAGGCUUGGUUUUGAGGCCUUUAACCACUAGGUUAAAGGCUUGAGAACGAUUUUUUUUUUCAUUUCUUUGUUUUUAUCUUAAUAUUUACAUGAAAAAUAAAAAUACUCAUUUAAAUAUCAUAAGAUCAGAUUAAAUGUUUAAAAAUAUCAUGAUAAAUUAAUGAUAUUAUUUCUUAUACUUUUAAACUUAUUUAUUUGAUUUUUGGAGAUAUUGCAUAUUUAAUUUGCAAAUUAUUAGUAGUACUAUUAUAUACAAGUUCAUAUAUAUUUAUAAAUAUAUUUGUACUAAAUCUAAAAAUCUAAAAUAAUAUGCCAAAACAACUAAUACAAACAUAUAUAAUUUUUUAAAAGAAAAUCAAAAUGUUGUCCGAUAUAGUAUUAAUAACAUUGGUUUAAAUACGCUGGACAAUCCCUGAUUCAUUUCAAAAUGGGGCCUAAGUUAAUUUGACCAUGUUCUCUAUAAAUUAGAGAUUAGCAAAGUGUAUAAGUGUUUGCUCUUUGGUUUUUGCUAAGUUGCACUUGCAUCAUACAUGCACUACUACUUUUUUUACUUAAACCUUUAUAUCCUAAAUAAACUUCUUUUAAAUAUCACUAUCAGAAAUAUGACUUUUACCAACAGAAUUACCGAUUAAAAAAUUUCGUUACUAUUAAGCAAGUUGGUAAUACUUUUCCGUCGGUAAUUACCGACAAAAUUUAUUGACAUAAUUUUUCCUUCUGAAAAAAUUUCAUCGAUAAAAUUAAAAAAUUCUAUCUAUAAUCCAUUGCUAAAAAGUCAGUUUUAUCAAUCAUAAAAUCUGUUGGUAAUUCGUUGGUAAUUGACCAAAAUUGGUCACUAAAUAAUGAUUUUUUGUUGGUAAUUCGUCGGUAAAAUUAUAAUUUUAUCUAUAAUUUGAUUAAUUUCAUUUAUAAUUAUUUAAGAAACCUAUAAAUUAAAUUUAAAACAUAUGCAAUUAUUUAAAAAGCUUAUUAUUUCUAUUAUUAUUAAUAAAAAUAAAAAAUUCACAUAUCAAAAAGCAGAUUCAUGAAUUAAUACAUCUUCAUUAUGCAUUAAUGCUCGAUAAAUUCAACAAAUCUCCAUUUGUCGCUUAUUAAUUCAAAAAAUUCAAGGAUAAACAUUGAAACUAGCUAAAGACAAUAUUAAAAGAGUGAUAUGAAUUCCCCAUCCUAGAGAAAGAUCACCUCAUUUCCUAUGUGUGAUCAUAAAAGUCCCAAGAAAGUACCAUUCUCUUUCUGCACAUUCCACCUCUCAACUUGUAGCAAUUUGAGUAACAUCCAAAAUAUUAAAAUUGGGAACACGAGUCUAUUGAUCAGUAGGAAAAAGUAUAUAUGGAAAAGUCUAUAAUUCUCAACAUAAAACAAUAUAGAACAUUUGGUGUUAAUAAAAUAAAAACACCUAUAAUUUACUUAUGCCCUUAAUGCCAGAGGGUAAUUUAUUUCUUAUUUACAAUUAUUUGUUAUGCAUUACAUAAAACCAUAAAUUAUGUGACAAGCUUUUUGAAUGAUGCCAUGACAUAUUUAAAGAAUGCUUAUGCUUGUGAACAAUAGAACUUGGUACUAGAAGCCAAAAAAUAAGCACAUGAUAAUAAAACUUACAUAAAAUAUACUUAUAUACAGCAUAAAUUCCAUUUCAAUAAGACAAACUCUCGUUUACUUAUGAUGAUAUAAAAAACUAGAUAUACUUAACCAUUCACCAAGACAAAAGAUAGAUCGUAUCUAGCAAAUCUCUGAAAUUCAUUAAACUUUUCACCCUUUGUUUGAAUAAGGCAAAUUUGUGGCAGCCAACAAGCUUCCAUGAAAAACAGACAAGAAAACUUAUUUUAGUUUCAAAAUGCCACAAUCAGGGUAUCUGAAAAUUCUCAUGGAAAAAUCAAAGUAUCAUCUGAUUUAUAGUUCACAAACAUGGCACAACCUCUAAAGAUGUUUAUAAAAAGUCUUAACCCAAGCCUUAAACUUGGUAUGUGUCCAAUGAUCAGAGCUUAGUUGGAAGCUUAAGUAGGCUUUAUCAUUUGUUUUAGAAUAAUACUUUAGGUUAAUUUGUGUGAAAAUUAUAGGGCCUUAUCUCAUUUUGAUUUCUAGCUUUUUAAGUAGGAAGGACAUUUUUUAAAUUGGUAUCAACAUUUGAAUUCAAGUUCAUUAGUUUGUUAAAUGGUUAGCUUCCUAAUUAGAGUUUCAAGUAUCUAUUAAAGUACUAAUUGCAUUAGUAGUGCUAGGAUUUUAUUUGUAAUCUUUUUAUUGAAAGUUAGGCUUACUGUGAGAAAAUUUUUAGCAUUAUUUUUCUAGUGAUUGUUUGAUAAAAUCAACCUCUGGUGUGAUUCUAAAGGCCAAAGCUUAGAUGAUUUUCUUCUUAUUAUUUUGCUAUGUUGUUUACAUUUACAACCAGCCAUAGAUUAACCUCUUUAAACCUAAGUAUUUUCAUUUAUCAAACUUUAAAACUAUAAAGUUCCCCACUAAACUAUUAAUUAAUGUCCAUAGACAUGGUUCACAAUACUAGAAUGGACUGAGAACAAGAAAGCAUCCCAACAUCACAACUUUCCUAAAUCAUAGAUGAUCUAAGAAAUACAAGUAACUUUAUUAAGUUAUUAAAAGAGGACAAGCUAAUUAUUUGAUUUUUCUUAUAUACAUUCAAGGUUAAAAAUCAAAAUAGAAAAAAAAAAAAACCAAGAAAUAUAUUAAAAUUAAAACACUCUACUCUUAAACUUGACUUUUGCUUUUACACCCUAAUUGCCCUUUAGAUAAUACUUUAAAUGGCAUAAGUCCACUAUCUUACUCUGAUAUUCUUCAACUACUUCAGAAUUUAUGAUCCUAAUAGCAUAAUGCUUAGUAUAGUAUAGCUUUUGAUGUUAUCAUAUGUUGCUCUAUAUAUAUGCAAGAAUAUAAUCUCUCAAGUGUCUUUAUUAGUUAGCUUGCAACACAUCAAUUCAUAAUUACUAUAAAGUGAACAAUAUGCUUUGACCUUGAUAACAAGAUACCCUUACCCUGAACCUUAUCAUUCAUAGAAUAAAGGCAAAAAAGGUUUGCAAAUACAAGCUUUCAUAUAAUAUAAAUAUUGAAUAUUAAAGUUUCCUUUCAAAUUAAGGUACUAAAUUCACAUAUAACAUGAAUAAGACUUCUGUUUUUCACUAAAGUAGUAAACUUUCAGAUUCUUCACAUCAAAUGACUCCCAAAGUUGAUAGUAUUCCCCUUUUUAUUCAAGCAUUUGCAAGCAAUGAAAAAUUCACGAGUAAAACCUAGAAAUUUAAUAAAAUAGAGUAUUUUUAUUAAUGAAUGGAAGGAAAGAUUCAAUUCCUUAGUAUAUAUGCAUUUAUUGUUAAGUUUAAUGGUUAUAUAAAGUAAUUUUUAUUUAAUUAUUAAUUAAUGCUUAUAAUUAUUUAAUGAAAAUAUUAACCCAAUUAGUACUUUGAAGCAUUUGACUUUGGAAAAUUAAACCAAGUAGACCAUUUCUAUGUCAUCAUUCAGCCAUAAUUUCUUUCUAUCUUCUUGUCCAUAUUUACAUAGACAUUACUUCAAGAAAACUUAGACGAUUGCAUAAUUAAGCUUCUACUAGAUACUAUUUCGAGAAAGCUUAGAAAAUUGCGUAAUUAAGCUUUCGCUUCAAAUCAAGUUCUACCAUUUAAGAAAUAUCUUGCAAAAAGCUUCUGUUGUCAGUAAAUUUUUUUUUCAAUUGAAUGCCCUAACUAUACCUUAUUUGUAUCAAAAUCAAUAAGCCAAGCAAUAAAACUAUAACUUGAUAGAGAAGAUAAGUUCCAAACAAGCUAAAGUGCCGGCGGUCAUGAGUAGUUGCUAGCGACGAUCAUGGGGUCACGGGUAGUCACGAGUUGAAGGGUUCAUGGGCUUACAGCCUCAUAGGCUCAAGGGCUUAAAGGGUCAUGGCCUCAUGGGCUCAAAGGCGACGAGGAGAGGGCGGUAAGGCGUGGGCCAGCAGCAUGGAUCCAAAAAAGGAGAGGAGAGCAGAGAGGAGAGGAAAAGGGGGAAAGAGAGAGAAAGAAAGUUAGGGAUUGAAAUCGAGGAAGAAAAGAAAUGAGAAAGGGAAUUUUCAAAUUUAAAUGACCUUUAUCGAUGAAUUUAAAUGAUCUUUAUAAACAAAAAAUCCCUUAAUAAUUCAAUUUUUUUUUAAUUUUUAACAACAGAUUACUGAUAAAAUUCGUCGAUAAUUCAAACUUUUAGCGACGAAUUAUAUUCGUAAUCCGUCGCUAAUAAAAAAUUUCCCUUCCUUUUUAAUUCAAAAAAUAUGUUAAUUUUUUUUAAAAAUCAAAAUUUUUUUGUAGAUGGAAAAAAUUUGUUAAUAAGUCAUCGGUAUAAGUUUUAGCAAUGGAUUACCGGCAGAUUAUUUCUAUUGGUAAAAAAUGUGCCAAUUGCCUAUUUUUCCCAUGGCAGAUUCACUUACAGAAUAUCGAUGGAUUUUUUUGUCAGUAGUUCAUCAAUAAACCGUCAGUGAAGAAUUUUUAAUUUUUUUUCCAUUACUAAAUUGUUGGAAAUUCUUCGAUAAUUACCGAUGAAAAAAGUCCAUCAGUAUUGCUCUUAUUUCUGGUAGUGUAUAUAGAAAAUCCACACUACUCCCAAAUGCGACAUGCAUCUGUAUAUAUAUAUAUAUAGUACUCUAAACUAGUUUCGUAGAGCACUCAUGUGGUCUAUUGGGGGUCUUUUUAGUUUUUCAUAUACAGCAAUCCACCUAUAUAUAAUUAAGUGAAAUACCGGCAGGCACUCGAGAAGAGACUACAUUUGUUUGGAGAUCAGUAGAAUCCUUAAAGUUAAUUAAUACUGGUUUUUUUCAUUAGUCUUAAAUCUGAAAUUUCUCAACCAACCUUUUUAAGGAAAGAAAAAAAAAACAAAAACCUGCCAAAUGCCAAUUGCCUUCUUACUUUAAUUGGUCGAUCACUUUUGAUGACCUGCUGGUGGUGGUGAUCAACAGCACCUUUGAUAGAGUGAUCGAUGUUCAGGUCCUCCCACAUUCUAUGGCCAUAGGGUGGUGACAGGUGAGCCUGCACAUUUUUUACAUUAACUGCUUACCUUUUGACCUCGUUCAUCUUUACUUUUCGAAGACUACAUAUAUAAUUAAAUUAUAAUAGGAAAACAUGCUCACCUCCACGCACAUGAAACGGUGUCCACUUUAGCUGGAGGGCACUUUGUUUUUGAACGUUUAUGUAUGUACUAUAAAAGAUCAACGAUAGUCUUUUCUUAAUGUGAUCAAUUGGAUUGGUCUACAUGUCUCGUUUGGUUGAUUUGGUUGGACUUGGGAGCACGCACCUGCAAUGCGGAGUAGGGUAUAAGCUAGAUCCUUUUGAGUUAGGGAGGGUCAACUCCAGCGGAGAACUCAGUAAAAAGAGGCAGGGUCCCUCCACGACUGAAAACGAUGGGUCUGCAGUCCUCCGUCUAGUGUUUCGUGGAUUGACUUCCACCCUUGCCAAAGUCUUCGCUCUACCCUACCACAUUAAAAGAUAUAAAAUGAAAACUAUUUGGCUUUCCUAGCUGUUUCAGCCAAAUGCAAGCCUUUUUCUCAAUAUAUAGCUUCCUAUGAGCUAUAUAGAAGUGUAACUUAUAUUUUCAUUCCAGUACGUCCCAUGUGCCUUGCAAUAGAUCAUAUAAUCAUAUUUGAAAAACACUUCAGCUUUACUUUGUAGGAAGAGUGAAAAAGGAUCAAGAUGAAAAUUUUGGUAAUAUAACAAUUAAGCUAUAAAAUAUAAAAGUAAUUAUGAAUUAAUAUUAGAUCAAUAAAAUAGUUAUUAUUACUUUUUUUUUUAUUUUUCUUACCAAGCAAAACAUUCAAACUGCAACACAAACAAAACAUAUGUAUUGAUAUAUAGUAGUAUUUCAUAUACCCUCAAUUAAAAAUGUAACUGUAUCAUAUAGAUAUAAGUGGCAUAUUUUAAAGUACUUUUGCGUUAAAAGAUGUACUGCCAUGCGAAAGUAACAAUAUAAUGCUUUGAUGCGUAUUCUUUUUUGAUAUUACCAAUUCAAUUCUUCAUAAUAAAUAAUUAUUGGUUGGAGUCGGCGGAAAGUUUUUAUCUGUUGCUGUCAAGAAAGGACUCUCACCCACCAUUGAUGAUUGAUUAUUAUAGAGGACUCCUUGUAGAAAAUAUAUAAAUGCAGCAUCCCAAUUCCCAUGCGAUGCCACCAACUUGUUAAGGAUGGAUGGAGGAGAUUUAAAGACUUGGUUUUUAACACUUUUCAAAUAUUUGAACACUAAUUAUAUGCUACUACCAUGUGUUACCACGUGUUUUCGCAGCUGACAGAUGAAUCUUAUGUUAAGUGCAUGAUCAUUGUCCAAUCAAAAACAGCUUUGUAAUCUAAUCACUUGUGCCAAGUGGCUUCCACUAUCCUUUUCUCUUUCCAACAGGACAUGAGUAUGUCACGGGCUUUUUUGUCCAACGUGGCUACAGACUGUUGGGAGCGUAACGGCGUCCUAAGGCAGACGCACUGAUGUUAAUGACGGCGUUAGCUACUCCGUCUGCACAGCGAAGCACAUCACGGUCACAAUAUCCAACGUGUAGGGUCUUGUGUGGGUCCCAGGCCGGAAUACCACAUGUAAAGACAACGUCGAUUUGGCCAAGAACGAGACAAAAGUGUGUGAGACGCCGAAAAGAACGUGAUCUUCACACGCGUGGAAAAAGGUGACCCUUCUUCGAAGUCCACACUGUCCACUGCCAUAUUAGAUUCCAUUUAUUUUAUAAAAAAUAUUUUCAAAAAAUAUUUUUAUUUUUAAAUGUUUGUUCGAUAGAAAAUGAAUUGAUUGAAAGAAAAUAAUGUUUUGGCCAAUGAAAAUGAGAAAAUUUUUUAAAAAAUUAUCUUUUUCUUUUGAAAAAGUAAGAUAAUUUAAAAAAAUUAUUUAUAAGUAAAAUUAUUUAUCAAUGUAUUUGAAUACAAUUUUAUUUAAGUCAAACUUUGUAUAUAAUUUUUUUAAACUCAAAUUUAAUUUAAUCUUAUCUAAAAUAUUAUUAUAUUAAUAAAUAAUUUUUUAUUUAAUUUUACUUAAAAAAAUAAAAUAUUGAUAUUAAAAGUCUUUAAUAUUUUAAUUUUAAAUGAUUUUAUAAUUUUACUCAAGUAAGACUUUAAAUAUGAUUUGAUUCGAUUUAAAAUAUUAUUAUAUUAAUAAAAUAAAUUACUUAAAUUUAAAUAAAAAAUUAAAAUAUUAACAUUAAAAGUCUUUUGAUAUUUUAAUUUUAAAUAUUUUAAUUUUGUAUUUUAUUAAAUAUAAAUAUUUUAAUAUUUUAAUAAUAAAUAGUAUUAUAUUAUUAUUUUAAUAAUAAAUAAUAACAUAUAUAAUAAUAUUUUUAUUAUUUUAAUAAUUAAUGCUAAAUAAUAAAAUAAUAUUUUUUUAAUAUGAAUAUUUUUAAUAAUUUCUUAUUAUUUUUAGUUUAAAAUAAAUAAUUUUUAUUUUUAUUUAUUAAGGUAUUUAUAUUACUAUUUUAAUAAUAAAUACAGAUAAAAAUAUUUUUGUUAUGAUUUAAUAAUAGAUACUCUCAAUAUAAAAUAUAAAUAUUUUAAUAACAAAUAUUACUAUUUUAGUAUUAAUAAAAAUAAUAUUUUAACAAUAAUAAUAUGAUUUUAAAUAUUUUAAAAUAUUAAUAUGAAGAAUAAUAAAUAGUUUUAUUUUAAGUAUUUUUUAUAUUAAUAUAAUAUUUAAUAUUAAAUAUUAUUAUUAAAAUAUAAUUAUUUUUUAAUAUUAAUAAUGUUAAUAAUAAAUAAUUUCAAUAUAUUUAAAUAAUAAAUAUAUUUUAAUAUUUUAAUAAUUAUAUUAAUAUUAUUUUUAAAAAAACAGACUUUCUAAAAAAUAAUCAAACAAUAAAACAUAUUUUUUAUUAACUUAUUUAAAUAACAAAAAAUGUAAAUAUUUUUAAAAAAAAUUAAAAAAAAAUCAAUUUCUACAAAAUAAAGGAACCUUAUUAUUAACAAUAGUAACGAGUAAUGAGCAAUGAAUUGAUUCACUUUCCAUUAAUUCACUUUAAUUAAUUAAUUAAUUAAUCAAACAAACCAUUUCGAUUUACCAAUGAAUCCUCCUUCCCGAUUCAUUUUAAAAUGACAAAACUGCCACUAAUGCUGUCUAAAAACAUAAAAUACCAUUCCUAUAGUAGUUUUUUUUCUUAUUAAUUAUUAUUAUGAAAUUCCUAGUAGUUUUAGGAGUAAUAAAUUAAGAGGAAGCAUAUACCCACACACACACACACACAUAUAUAUAUAUAUAUAUUAUAUUAUAUAUAGGAGAAUAGCUAAACUAAAACAACUUUCCCUUCUACAAACUGCUAAUAUAAUUAGUAGAAUAACAAAAACACAUACAAUUAAAGUGAAAACUUGCUAGUUGCAGUCAACAUGUCAAGUAUUUUUCUUUUUACCCUAAAGUUCUCAUGAUUUUGUUUGUAACAAACAUAUUGCAAAUAUAAAGUUAAAUCUUUGCAUUUAUAUUAUAACGUAUCUUUAUAGAUUUUCACCGUAAAAAGAAUUAGAAUUAUACAAUCUCUUCUUGUUGUUACUAAGAUGUGUCCGUCAAACCUAAUGCUUUUGACAAAACCAAGGUCAAUCCGAACUCAAAAUUAGACAUAAAAAAAAAAAAAAAAAAAGGAAUUUCUCAAUGCCCAAAAAGGGUAUUAUCGUCAACGAAAUCCAGUCAAUGGUUAAUUCAUCACAUGAGUCAGAACAGUAAACAGAAAACAGACAAAAUCAAAAUGAAGACCCAACCAAGAACCAGCAAUCUCUCCUCUCUUAUCUUGGCACAAAGAAAUUAAGAAAAGAAAAAGGCUUAGAUAAUUGCAUUAGAGUUAAUCGUGAUAAUGAAAUUUUUUAAUUUUAUAAGUGAAAUUAAUAAAAUAAUAUAUAUUUUUUAGGUAAUGUUUGAUAUUUUUUAUAAAAUUAUUAUUGUAAUGUAAUUAUUAAAUUGAUUUUAUUAUCAAAUUGAUUUUAAACUCAUGAUUCAAAAUCAUUUUAUUUGAUUAAUAAUGAUUAAUUAUUAGAAAUUAAGUAUCACUAUAUUUGAUAUUAUUAAAAAUAUAAUAUUAUUUUAUUUAAAAGUAUGAAAAUAAUCAUAAAUAUUGUAAUAGUUACACAAAUUAAUAAUUUAUUAAUAUUUAAAGAUAAUAAUUUAUAAAAUAAUAGUAAUAUUUAAUUUAUAAUAAAAUAUAAUUAAAUUAAUAACUAUAUUUAUUGAUAAACAAAUUGAUUUUUAUAAUGUAAAUUAUCUAAAAUAUAUUUGAAUUAGAAAAUAAAAUCAAUCUAUAAAUUCAUUAUAAAAGGAAAAUAAAAAAUUUAUCCUGCAUAUAAAAUAUUAAAAAAGUAAAAUAAUACCAAAUUAUUUUGAAUUUGUUAUAAUGAUUAUUAGCUUAAAAAUAUAAAAAUUUAUAAUAUAAAAUAAUUAUAAUUUUAAGAUGCAAUAAAAUUUUAAUUUAUAUAUUAAAUGGUUAAAAUCGAUUCUUGUUAAUUUUACAUAUUAUUUUAUUUCGGUGAUAAAAGUUUCUCACAUUUUUGUAUGAAAAUUAAAUCAUUUUUCAAGGUAACAAUAUGAUUAUUCUAAAUGAUUUAAGACCACCUCAUGUAGAAUCAUUGAAUGCUUAUCAAUCAUAAUGAUUUAAUCACUAUGUAUAAAUUAUCAUAAUUUUUAGAAUAAUUAGUUUUAAACUCGUGUAAUGCACAAAAAUAUAUUCAUAUAUAAAUAAAUCUUAUAUAAAUAUAAAUUUUUUAAAAUGAUAAUAUAAGUUAUGAAGCUUAUAAGCAACUCAUAACUUAUAUAAUCAUUUUUAUUUAAAUUUAUAUAUUUCAAUAUAAUAAAGUAAAUUAAUUAUUUAUUGAAUAUAUUUAUGCAAUUAUCAUCAAUUAUAAAGAAAACUCAAACUAUAAUUUCGUAAAUCCAAAUAAUUUCUAAACAAAAAACAAUAAUAUUUUCAAUUUAAAGAAAUUAAAAUUUUAUCCUUAAUAUCAAUCUCGCAUACAAACUUUUUUCAUGGGAAGAUUCUUCCAUAAAUUGUUGUUGAAACAAAGAUGCAACAAUUGAUUCUCUAAUAUUUCUUGCUAUCUUUGAAGUAUGUGUCAUUUUACUUGAUAAACCAAUAAAUUUCACAGAUAAAGGUGAAGAGAUAAAUAAAAUAGUAAUCUAUAAUUUGACAAUAGUUAAGUUAUAAUAUAAAACUAUAUAACUUUAUAACAAACAUAAUCAUUGUAAUAAUCUUAUACAUACCUCUUCCAAUAAUUUUUUACAUUCAAGCUUAUGAUCAAAAUUAUACACUUUAUUCACUGUAAGUUUGAUACUACUUGUUUCAAGAUUAUACUUGAUUGUCCUUAUCUUGAACAUACACAUUUUACCUAUGAAGUCUUCAAAUAUCUCUUAGAUUUUAUAAUCUCCAUUUUCUUAAAUUAUAAGUAUAAAUAUAUCAUUCAAUUAAUUUAAAUAUUAAAUAAUAUUAAAAUAAUUUUUAACUCAAUAUCUUAACAGAUAUUUCAUAAAGAUCGUUAAUAUCUCUAUUAAUUAAAUCAUUAGCUUCUAUAUUGAACAGUAUAAACAUCGCCCUUUCAGAAUUAUUAUUUACUUCAAUAUUCAACUUAUACCUAUAAAAAUGGAAAAUUCUACAAUUAUAAAUAUAAUAUAAUAAUUUAAAAUAUUUUUAUUAUCAUCAUGGAAUAAUAAUUUUUUUUAUCUAUCAAAUAUAAAAAAUAUAAAUAUUAAUUACCUUGGAGUUAGAUUAGGGUACACCCACAUGACAUAUAGUACUAAUAAAAAAUGGUAUCAACUUUCAUGGUAGUGAGUCUACUGGUAAAAGACUUUCCCUAUAUAUAUCCAAUUAUCUUUAAAUCAAUCAUCAACAAAAAAAAUUAAAAAAAUCUAAUUUCAUAGUUAAAGAAAUAUAAAAAUAUAAAUAUAAAAAGAGAAUAACUUUUCAGCAGUACAGACCAAAAAACGAUGCGAAAUGAAACUCAAAGAGAAAAUUGAAAUAUAGUUGAGUAGUGAUCAAAAGAUAUAAAAUUAGUGAAAAGUGAUUAAAGAUGCAUUAUGCUUAACCUAGAGCUGCUUAUACAAAAUAUGUGUUGUAGGUUAAUUAAUAAGAUAAUUUUAAAUUAUAAAAGUUAAUAUUGAAAUAAUGAAAAUUGUAAAUGAAUAAUGGUAAGUUGAUUGAUAUUGAAAUAUUUUAUUAUGCCAUUAACAUUUACAUAUCCCUUAAUUUAGAACACUAAAACAAAUUAAAUUUUUUGUAUUUAAUAAUGACACUAAAACAUAUUAAAUUUUAAUUAAAUCAAUGUGCAUUAAUAUAUAGAUUUUAAAAUUAUAAAACGUUACUAAUGAAAUCAAAUGAAAUUCAUGUGCAUUAAUAUUUUAUCAAAUGUGCAUUAAUAUUUUACCAACUGAAAUCAUAUUUAAUGAAAUAUAAAUCUAUCAAUCAAAUAUAAAUUAAUAAAAUAUUUUAUCCCAUUAAUUUAGUUACGAAGAAUUAAUUUAAUGUAUUUGCUUUCUAUAUUUACACAUGAAAUACAUCAAUUACUUAAAUGGAUACUAUAUUUAAUCAAAUAUAAAUAUAUCAAAUAAUUGAUUAGAGAAGUAAUUAUUUUAUAAUUAUAAUUGUAGUAUUUAUUAAAUUAUUAAUUAUAUAUUGAUUGAUUUAAUUUGUCAAAUUAAGAAAAUUUUAAAAUUUUAAUACUUUUAAUAUGAAUUGAAUUGAGAAUGAUUUAAAAUUAAUAGUAAAAACAUAAAUAUAGUUAAUUAAUAAGAUAACUUUAAAUUAUGAAAAUUAAUAUUGAAAUAAUAAAAAUUAUGAGUGAAUAAUGGUUUAACAAUGAUAAAUUGAUUGAUAUUGAAAUAUUUUAUUCUGCCAUUAACAUUUACAAAUCCCUUAAUUUAGAACAAUAAAACAAAUUAAAUUUGUUAUAUUUAAUAAUGGUAAUAAAACAAAUUAAAUUUUAAUUAAAUCAAUGUGUAUUAAUAUCAAAUAAUAAAAUUAUAAAACGUUAUAAAUAAAAACAAAUAAAAUCAACGUGCAUUAAUAUUUUAUUGAAUGAAAUCAUAUUUAAUGAAAAAUAAAUGUAUCAAUCAAAUAUAAAUUAAUAAAAAUAUUUUAUGUCAUUAAUUUAAUUAUGAAAAAUUAAUUUGAUAUAUUUGCUUUAUAUAUUUACUCAUGAAAUGCAUCAUGAAAUACAUUAAUUACUCAAAUGGAUACAAUAUCUAAUCAAAUAUAAAUGUAUUAAAUAAUUGAUUAGAGAAUUAACUAUUUUAUAAUUGUAAUUGUAAUAUUUAUUAAUUUAUUAAUUAUAUAUUGAUUAAUUUAAUUUAUCAAAUUAAAAUUUUUUUAAAAAUUUAAUACUUUUAAUAUGAAUUGAAUUGAAAGUGAUUUAAAGUUAAUAAUAAAAAUAAAAAUAUAAUUAAUUUAAUUUUUGAAUUAUUUUUAAAUUAAAAGUAUAUUAAAUAAAAUAAAAUUCAUUUAUUAAAUGUCACAUAACGAUUUUUAAGACCGGUCACAAGUUAACAUUUUAAGUCGUCCACAUAAAAUUUUUUUUUUUAUUUUUAUCAAAAGUUUUAAUUCUUAUAUAUUUAUAUAAGAUAUAACAUUACCUUGUAACAAACACUAUCUUAAAAUGUAUUUUUAAAAAAUUAAAAAACUAAUUAAAAAACAAAUGAAACUUGUGUGUCACAUUAAUUCUACUUAUAAAAUUAAAAAAUUUUAAUGACAUUAUAUCAAAUAAUUUCCCCGUUUCAUUAUCCCCAAAUCCUGAUCUCAUUUUUGGUAAAAAAAAAAAAAAAAUUAUCGUUACCUACCAAACAAAAGCAAGGCCAUUUCUGUCAUUGCAUAUGUAAUCUCUCUCUCCCAAGUCCCAAGGCCAGACUUCCAUCACAAAGCAGGAGCAGUGCAUUGUGCCUUAUAUAAACCACCUGUUUAUCAUCAAUUUUUUCAACAUAAUACCUAACUUUAGAGCUUGAGACUUAGACUUCACUUCUCUUCUAAUCUUGUUAAACUACAGAUAAGAGUAUACUCAACAACUCUACUUACCACUGUGUCUCUCUUUAAUCUUUCCUGCUUCAAUGGCCAGCAAGACCCUCACAGAUCCAGAGAAACCAAAUGCGGCUGCCACCGAGGAUGAAGAGAGGACGCCGGUGGAGGAGGUGGCGUUGGUCGUUCCCGAAACAGAUGACCCUACUCUGCCAGUCAUGACCUUUCGUGCUUGGUUUCUUGGUUUGACAUCAUGCGCGCUGCUUAUCUUUCUUAACACUUUCUUCACCUACCGUACGCAACCACUCACCAUCUCUGCAAUCCUCAUGCAAAUCUCUGUCUUGCCCGUUGGCAAGUUCAUGGCUAGGACUCUGCCAACCACGGAGUACAGUCUUCUUGGAUGGCGCUUUAGCUUGAAUCCUGGGCCCUUCAACAUGAAGGAGCAUGUCAUUAUCACCAUCUUUGCCAAUUGUGGGGUGUCUUUUGGUGGAGGUGAUGCUUAUUCCAUUGGUGCCAUUACUGUCAUGAAGGCUUAUUAUAAACAGAGCUUGAAUUUUCUCUGCGGCCUCCUUAUUGUCUUGACUACUCAGGUUUUUCAUUGACACUCCUUUUGCUACUACUUUUUUUAGUUUGACCCUUCCUUAUUAAUAUUGAAUCUCGGGUCUUCUCGCUUUCUUUUUAAGUUAUUUUAUUGUUCUUAUGGUUUUAAAAACUGCAGCACAUAGCAAGAACGAUAUUUUAAAUUAGUUUUAUUAACUGAAUCUUUGACUGAUGACAGUGAUAAGAUUAUCUGAAACUUGCAUCGAGAACUGAAAUUAAUACUACUACUACUACUACUACAAUUUUGGAGAAGAUAUAUAUAUAUAUAUAUAUAUAUGUAUAUAUGUAUACGGCUCAUUGCACAUUUCAGUCGAAUUGUAAGUGUUCCCUUUUGGAAUUUGGGGGGGGGGGGGGUGAAUUCAGUUUUUCCCCUCUCAAUUUAUACUUCUCAUGGGGCAGAGCAGAUAGAGAAAGUGCUAAUUGCCGGGCAUCUGAAUUGCUUAAGAUUUCUGGACCGUGUCUCACAAUCAAAUGACCAUCUAUCUGGCAGUUUCAAGUUUCAACUACUAUAAAUUUAGUGUAUUUGGUUCAUCUAAUAGUAAUAUUCUUGAUCAUGAUAUGCAGAUUUUGGGGUAUGGAUGGGCUGGUAUGCUUCGGAGGUACCUGGUUGAUCCUGCAGAAAUGUGGUGGCCUUCAAACCUGGCUCAGGUUUCUUUGUUUCGGUCCGUCUUUUACUCCAUUACCUUCUUUUACCUUUCGUUAUCAUGAUUUUCUAAUUGGUCGGUAGGAAAUUUCUUAGAAUGCAAAAAGAAAAAGUUAUACGUUUAGAAUCUUAGACUUUUCGUUCACUGGGUCCCAAGAUAACAGAAACCUCUCCUUUUUUCAGUGCACAAGCAAAAUUAUGUCAAUUACUUGAGUUAGUCUAGGAAGAUUUAACUACAUAAUGGAUAGACGUUGAUUUUUGUUCUUUCCAUACGGAUCUUCUUAGCCCCAAAUGGAUGGUAUUAUUUAUUGGUGACAACUGGUUUAUUCUUUUAUAAGUUUGAAUUCUACUGCUGCUCAAACAUUCUAUUUAGAAGAUAAACAAAAUGCUCUUGAAAUAUGAUAUCAAAUGCAUAAAUAAACAGCGGAAGCAUCCGAGACUUUGAAUUUGGUUAAAUGAAUAAGCUGAUAUGUACGAGCAGCAAUCAAUGACAAGAAUGCAACUGUGCCAUUAUCCCCCUUAUUUUUUUAAUGGAAAAAGGUUUCUUAUAUAUAUAUCACAUAACAAUAUGCAUGUUCACUGGAGGAUUAUCAUGAUAUUCUAUCCGAGGACAUUAGGCAUAAAUCAUACAAGAAGAGUAUAUAGGUAUUGACAACUGGAUGCUACAGAAUUCACCCAUUUUGGUUGCAUUAUGAUUAGGAUUUUGCGUUUGAUUAUAUUCUGGCGAUCAUGGAUAAAGGUAGCCUUUGUGAGAAAGAGUUCAUUAAGAAUAUGUUAUACCUAGUUUUAUUUUUAUUUCCAUCAAACUAAAUUUUAGCAUCUCAAUCAAUAUGUAGUUUUUGAUUCUUAACUUUUUUGUUGCAGAGCACUCCAUGAAAAGGACCCGAAAAUGAAAGGAUUGACUCGAAUGCAAUUUUUUCUUGCUGCACUGGUGGCAAGCUUCGCUUAUUAUGCUCUGCCAGGCUAUUUAUUCCCAAUCUUAACAUUCUUCUCAUGGGUUUGUUGGGUGUGGCCCCAUGGUAUCACAGCUCAGCAAAUCGGGUCUGGAUACCAUGGACUUGGCAUUGGUGCCUUCACCCUUGAUUGGGCUGGGAUCUCAGCUUAUCAUGGCAGUCCACUGGUUACGCCCUGGUCCUCAAUUCUCAACGUGGGGAUAGGCUUUGUCAUGUUUAUCUACAUCAUUGUCCCUGUGUGUUACUGGAAGUUUAACACUUUCGACGCUCAAAGAUUCCCAAUAUUCUCUAAUCAGCUGUUUACUUCCAGUGGGCAUAAAUAUGAUACAACUAAGAUCUUGACACCGCAGUAUGAUCUAAAUGUUUCUGCUUAUAACAGUUAUAGCAAACUCUAUCUUAGCCCUCUUUUUGCCUUAUCUAUUGGAUCGGGAUUCGCAAGAUUCACAGCAACCCUCACUCAUGUGGCAUUGUUUCAUGGCAGGUACACUUUGUGCUGUUUUAAGACUUUUGAGUAAUGUCAUCAGUGUUCGUUUUGAAUGAUGCUUCAGCUUUCUUAACUUUAGUAUGUAAUUUACUUAUUCUUGUAAUUGUUUGCUUUAACCUUUUGGAAGAAUUUAGAGAUUAAACAGAGUCCUCGAUUGUGUAUGCUUUUGUCAUAAAAAAUAAUGCAUUCAGGUCAAAUAAAUAUUCUCGGUUUCUUUUGUCUAGUGAUAUUCUGAAGCAGAGCAGAUCAGCAAUGAAGAAUGUGAAGUUGGACAUCCAUGCAAGGCUGAUGAAAAGAUACAAACAAGUGCCUCAAUGGUGGUUUUACAUUUUAUUGAUCGGAAGUAUUGCUCUGUCACUCCUGAUGUCUUUUGUGUGGAAAGAGGACGUACAGCUGCCAUGGUGGGGUAUACUCUUUGCCUUUGGUUUGGCUUGGAUUGUCACCCUUCCUAUUGGAGUCAUUCAGGCAACUACCAAUCAGGUAAAGUAUGCCUGUGUAUUGUUGUGACUUACCUGGAAUGGACUUGAUUAUAUAGCUUCUAAGAACAUUUCUACUUGUGGAACUUUCCAGCAACCUGGAUAUGACGUUAUAGCCCAGUUCAUAAUUGGUUAUAUCUUACCCGGAAAGCCCAUUGCAAACCUGCUUUUCAAGAUUUAUGGGCGGAUCAGCACAAUUCAUGCUCUUUCUUUCUUGUCUGACCUCAAACUUGGGCACUACAUGAAAAUCCCACCACGCUGCAUGUACACAGCUCAGGUACCUUCUGCCCAUUAGCUUUUUCAUUAAGACUUCUAAAGAUCUUAUACAACUUUUGAAACUUCGUUCUGUAGUAUGAAAUGAUUGAACUUGUUUUUAUGUUUCCCAGCUUGUGGGAACUCUAGUUGCAGGUAUUGUCAACCUUGGAGUUGCAUGGUGGAUGUUAGAUAGCAUUGACAACAUCUGUGAUGUUGAAGGAAAGCAUCCUGAGAGCCAAUGGACCUGUCCUAAAUACCGAGUCACCUUUGAUGCUUCUGUUAUUUGGGGCUUAAUUGGACCAAAGCGGCUUUUUGGACCUGGAGGGAUGUACCGUAACUUAGUGUGGUUGUUCCUCAUUGGAGCGGUCUUGCCUGUUCCUGUUUGGAUAUUGAGCAAAAUUUUCCCUGAAAAGAAAUGGAUUCCCUUGAUUAACAUACCAGUUAUAUCUUAUGGUUUUGCUGGAAUGCCACCUGCAACUCCCACGAAUAUAGCAAGCUGGCUUAUCACUGGAACCAUAUUCAACUAUUUUGUGUUCAAGUAUCAUAAGCGCUGGUGGCAGAAAUAUAACUAUGUUCUAUCUGCAGCAUUAGAUGCUGGAACUGCUUUCAUGGGUGUUUUACUGUUUUUCGCUUUGCAAAAUGAGGGCCAUAACUUGAAAUGGUGGGGCACUGACCUUGAUCAUUGUCCUCUGGCAACGUGUCCAACAGCGCCAGGUGUCGUGGUUGAAGGAUGUCCGGUUUUUAAAUAGACCAAAUCGACCAUGCACAUGAUGAUCGAAGACUUUAAAAGUCAAAGGCGAAACGGAUUAAUUUUGAGACAGGAAGGGAAAUACUAAUGUACUAUAGCCGUUACAGACAAUUUUAUGACCACUUAUGUACAUGCUUUUUAUGUCCUCUCAAUUGAAGAGGAGGUAAUGCUUUUCUUUGUGCCUAAUAGCAGAAUUUUGCUUUUUCGUCAUAUGGCUGUUGAUAGCAUCUCGUAGAUGUUGCUAGAUGAAUAAGAAGCUAUUCCUGCUACAUCCGAGAGUUUAAAAUAAUUGUGCUUUACUUUUCAUUUACAAUGUCAAUACUUGUACACUUGCCGAUCCGAAAAGACUGAGAAAGAAGAUAUAUAUAUCUCCAACAGAAUAAAUUAAAACUGUUAUAGGACUGAAACCAAAAACAAAGCAACAUUUUGAAUUUCUCAGGGAUAGGUAUAAAGCGGCCAUUGGAGAUACAUACCAGGCAUAGGAAAAUGGAUGCUAGAAAGCAGAGGAUGCCUUGAUUUUAAGUUUCACCAUCAAUGGCGUAUGUCAAAGCCACCCUGCCCCUAGCCCUGUCUGAUUAAAAUCUUAAAACCAUUCAGAUAUUUUCCACUUCUAUGUUUGAUCAGGGUCGGGUUCUAAUUUAUGCGGCAACCCAAUUUUGAGUGCAUGUAGUAUCGCUAACUGAGGGGAAUUUUAGUCCAAACUCUUCCUAAUUUCAAUUGCAAGGGACCAAACGAAUUAAUGCAGGAACACUUAGCAUGGAUAAUUAAAAAAAAAAAAAAGCAUAUUUCUCAUAACUUUGCCCAACAAGAACAAGGAUAACUAUUAAUGGAUCAAUGAUCACGAAAUAUUUCCCUAGGUAAAAAUAGAAUCUUCAAAGUUUUCAUAUGGUGGCUCCUUCCUAAGCUACUUAAUUCAUCGACACAACAUCAACACUGUGAUACUUAUAUUAACCACACGAUCAUUGGAGACUACAAGGUCCACAUAGUCACCAUCUAAUACUACCGCUGCACAGGCUUGUAGAGCACCACAGUCACAUACUUGGCUAAAAAUCGAUGAGUUGAACCAAGUGCCACCACAGGUUGGCCACUCUUCCCCUUUUGAAUGUAGAGAUGAUUAAGAAUUACAUGCUUAGGUCUUGACAGAGGAGGUGGAAUCUCCAUCUGAGAUGCAGGCAGAUUAAGCAGUGGCAGUUGUAGGUGUGGAGGAACUAGUGGUGGCUCCUUAGCAAAAUCUUCAGCUCCAAGUGGCAAGUCAUUAUAGCUCGACUCGGGGGACUGAGGAGGUUCAAAACUAGAUAUACUCUCAAGAUCUUCCGGAACAUAAUCCUGCAUUGCAUUAUUCACAAUCAGCAUAUUUCUAAUUAAAGAGUUUGUGAAAGCUAUGCAUUAGUCAAGGUGAUGAAGCAAAGGGAGAAAGAAGACACUAAUGCAAGCAAGAAUGCACAAUAGCACUCCUGCACAUCCAUGAACUGCAAAUGUACAUUACAAUGCCACUUGUUUAAGAAGUUGAUUAUACCCAAACCUUUGCAAUAAAUAUAGCAAUUUAAUAGCAUAUAUAAAACUGAAAGUUACAGCUGAGUGAGAGUUGGUGCUUUUGAUCGCAUGUAGGACAAAAUGCUUUGAUG